GGAAAACAUGUUCUAGAGAAUCUGAUAUGUGGUAAACACAUUGAACAUGUCAAGUAUCAAUAUAGACAUAUUUCUGGAAUUUUAAACUCAACAGAAAAUACAGCAAUUAGUUCUGUUGAUAAAACAAAGAGAGAAAAAAUCGAUGAAAUCCAGCCCAGAGAAGGCGGCCGGAGGUCACGCCAGGCGCCUGGGCUUGGGCCUCCACGGCCUUUGGCCAGCCCACCCGCCGCCACACCGCAUAAGAGAGAGAGAGUAGGCGACGGUUACGGAUAAGGGUCGGAGACCCGAAGCCCGCACCACCCCGCUCGAUCCCCCACAUCCUACACGACGCCGGCGGUUGGAGGGCGGCGGCCACAGUCGGGCGGUCUUGGCUGCGUGCAAGAGGGCGCGUGGCCGGGCGGAGGCCGGGCCGCAGGGCGGCCAGCGUAGCGCGGCGCACGGCCGGGCGUGGGACUCGGCGCGGUGGCCGGGAGGCAGCCGAGCGCAGCGCAGCCACGGGAGGAGCGCGGGGGCACGGCGCGGAGGCCGGGCUGCCGGGCGCGGGGCCACCUCCACCGCGUGAUGCGGCUGCGCUGCGGAGAGCCAGGCCGAGGGCCCUCGGCCCGGCGUUUCGUGGCUGUGGUCUCCGCUGCGCCCGGAGGAUUGAUGCUUCUGCGCGCGUCCUCGGCGAGGUUGUUGUCGUUGCAGUGAUGGCGAGACUGCGAGCGGAAGCGGCCGCUAGUUCCAGUUCAGGAAAAUAGAAAGAGACAUGGUACCUUCUUCUUCCAUUUGCAUGACCGGAUUGUUCUUAUUAGAAAUGCCAUGCCAUUUGCUAUAUGUAGUAACGUGGAAUAGAGGAGUCUAGCAACAUCAUGCUGUUUUUGUUUGAAACAUGGUUGUUUUUUCUUUGACUAUAGUACUACCCAGCACCACGGUAGUAGUAGCUGAUGUUGAGGCAGCUCGUCAAGUCCUGCCCAAACACAAGGCAGCAGCGCUUCCCCAUGGAGAUGGCCGACGCCUCGCCGCCGCGGCACUGGUCCGCAGGCGGCACGAAGCACCGCGGGUGCACGUCCACCCGGCACGUCCCGCACCGGUACCUCCACGCCACGUCGACGCCGCGCACAUGGACGCCACGCCGCCAUCCGACUUCUUGACGAGCCACGCGUCGUGGCCGCAGGGGUGCGCCACGGCCGGACCCCGCGCCACGGGCGGCAGGCGGACGCAGAGCGGGUGCACGACGACUGUCGCGGAGGCGCACGCACCGGUGCUGCAGCCGUAGCACGCGCCCUUCACGUCCUCCCCGCACACCUCGCACCUGACGUUGCCGCCGCCGGUGCCGUGGUCCGCGGUGGCGGCGGCGGCGCUCUCGCGCUGUUUCAGCCUGUGCUGGGAGUGGACGAUGGACUUGAGCGUCCUGGGGAAGCUGCGCGCGCAUACCUCGUGGAGCUUGAAGCCACAGCCGGGGUGGCCGCACAGGUACCGGGGCCCGGCGCCGGCAACCAGACAGCCGUCGCACGUGAACUCGCCGUCGUCAUCAGCGUCCGCUGGGAGCAGCCGGUGGCUGCCGUGGGCGAAGUAGGCGACGGACCUCCUCCUGCUACACAUCGCUUCCAAUAAUGCAACGAAUAAUCCACUGCUACUAAGCUUAUUUAAAGUAGAGAUCAAUGUAUGGCUUGUGGGGGCGACAGCUGUUUUGAAAUGUAAACCUUGUGGAAAUUACUAGUACUCCACUAGGGGCAGUGGCGGAGCCAGCGCCCGGCCACCCCGGGCACUUGCCCGGGCUCACUGGUCACGAGACUGUACACAUGUGAUAAACAACGAGGCAAAUUCUGCUAUGCAUGGUGGUUUACCCGGGCUGCAGGGUACCUGGCACUAGCCAAAAUAUGUCCAGUCACAGUCGCGCAUGGAUUGAAUUGUCCGUUUCUUGAAAAUAACACUUGAAUCAUUAACAAGUGGCCACGAGCCAACGGACCGCAUGUUCAUGUGCAAUGUGAGACUACUUGGACUACAAGAGCAGCUAGAACCCAUUCGGCAAAUUUAAAUCCCUAAACGUUGUCGUCCCGGAUGACCACACUUUUCAUACUGUGUGUAAACCUUCAUAUCCAUGUAAAUUUGAUUCUAAACAAAAUCCAUGUAAAUUUAUGCAUGUCCAUUAUAUAGCACAAAUCAUCAUUAGUUGAAUAAUUCGACAAAACAGAAUAAACCAUGCUUCAACAAUUCAACACAUGCCAAAAUAAAAUUCAACAAUUUAUACAUACAUAGAUUUGCGAUACAUGAAUGAAUCAAACGCCUUCAUUGUUAUGCUCUUUAAUCCUCUUCUUUAUGUUGCUCAACCACUUCUUGUCUGCAUCAUCUAAGAGGCUAGUGUCUUGCAAUAUGAUCUUCGACUCCUCUGUUUCUCUCACAAGUCUCAAUUUCUCUCUCCCGAGCUCAAUUCCUUGCAAUGUCGCCGCCUUUUCAAGCUCUUAUUUUGCAUAUUCUCUUACUUCUCCGAGUCUAUUCUCUCCCUCUCAAUGUUCAACUUCUCCUUCACCCUCUUCCAGUCAAACUUCAUCACCUCCCGUUGCACACCUAUGAAGAGCAUGUACCUCUUCUCCUUCUUCACCUCCUUGGCGGAAAAAAAUGCUCGUCCAUAUGGCAGACAUUUUGAUUGCAACGCCAUCACGUGUGUCCCUCUCCUUCUCCUAGUUGUUUCUCGUCAUCUGUCGGUUUCUCUUUUGCACGAUAGCUUGUACGUCCGCCGUUCGACUUUGCUCUUCUUCGCCAUCUAGUCCAAUUGAUUAAUGGGAGCCUCGACUUUGCUCUUCUUCGCCAUCUAGUCCAAUUGAUUAAUGGGAGCCAGGGUCAUUAUUUUUCUUCAUCUUCUUGGGGUCAGUUUUGAGCUUCUCAGUGAUGGUUUGCCACUUUGCUUUCCCAUUUUAUUUCAAUCUACAAUGGGACAAAGUGAAUGCCUUGCGCUUAGUUUGUUGGUACAAACUCAUUGCCAAAGUUGCAUGGCUUUGGAAUCCAAUGCCACUUUGGUUCCGGCCAACCACUUGUAUAUAGUAAAACAACAAACUAGUUGACGCUCUCAUGGAAGGUGGACCAUCUAUGUUGGAGAAUCCCUCAUUGCGGGUGGUAUGGAUAGGGUUUGGCUCCACGUAGUGCUUUUGCUGAUCAUGGUAGAGUUUAUAGCAUUUUUUUGCCAAUACUUGAUGCUCUUUUGCUCGGUUCCAUAUAUUGGAUCCAUGCUUGUGCCCAACCAAGAUUCAACCAACACCACAUCUUCAAAGGGUGCGAAUGUCGUACCUCUUGGCUUAACUACCUUUUGUUUUAGUGUGCGACGUUUGCCCGACUUCAAACAAAGGGGAAUGGGUAUUCCUCAAGUUAAAAUGCAUAGGCUCUUGACCAUCAUUGAUCAUGUUUAGCAUGAAUUCAUCCUACAAUAUGCAUAUGCAUUGCAAUUGAACUACCAUCCCUAGAUUGAUCCAAUGGUAUGUGCGGCAAAUGAAGCAACUAAUGCAAAUGUCAUAUGGGCAAAGAACGUACCAGAUCUUGGUCGAGAGUAUUGUCAAAUAGAAGGUGGGCAUGAUCGGUGCUAGCAUUGCCCGACGUUGUCCAUUGCCUGUAGAGUUGCAGCGGUUCAUGCACCGUCUCCUCAACGAUGACAUCUUCUAGGAAGCCAUCCGGGAUGCCUGGUCGCUAGGAGGCCGGAACAGACUCGAGUUGUGUCGACGGUUUCUUCCUUCCCGCGGCCACGAUGAACAAAUCGAUGACAAUCACUAGAUCGGACGCACCCAAGUCCAUGUCCUCAUCAUCGGUCAUCUCUGCACCAACUCUUUCUCUAGUUGUCUUCUCUAUCGCUUCCUGCUCGCGCCGCAUCCUUCGCCGCUCCCUCCGAGCGACGUUCUCUACCUUGAAGCUGACCCCCANNNNNNNNNNNNNNNNNNNNNNNNNNNNNNNNNNNNNNNNNNNNNNNNNNNNNNNNNNNNNNNNNNNNNNNNNNNNNNNNNNNNNNNNNNNNNNNNNNNNNNNNNNNNNNNNNNNNNNNNNNNNNNNNNNNNNNNNNNNNNNNNNNNNNNNNNNNNNNNNNNNNNNNNNNNNNNNNNNNNNNNNNNNNNNNNNNNNNNNNNNNNNNNNNNNNNNNNNNNNNNNNNNNNNNNNNNNNNNNNNNNNNNNNNNNNNNNNNNNNNNNNNNNNNNNNNNNNNNNNNNNNNNNNNNNNNNNNNNNNNNNNNNNNNNNNNNNNNNNNNNNNNNNNNNNNNNNNNNAGGAGUGCGGCAGCGCGGAUGGGAAGAAAGGGUGGAGGUGGGCGUCGGCUCGAACACAGAAAAAUGGAGAAGCACGUGGGAGGUGUGCAGUCGAUUUGGUGGACUUUGUCAAUUUGGAGAGGAUUUGGGAUGGGUCCCACCUGACGGAUCCAACAUGCGGACGUGUUCAGGCGUUCUCAUAUCUGCCCCACAUAUGGACUAGAUAUGGAGGGUGACGGAUAGCCCAGGCGUAUAGGGAUGGUUUGAGGGUUCCGGUCGGGUGACAUUUUUGUUACCGAUCACUGACCGGGCAAUCUGCCCAGACAUAUAGGGAGUAUUUGAGGUAUCCAUUUGUAGAUGCUCUACAGAAGACUUUGAAUACCAAUGCAAAUCAUUACCACCUUCAGGGUUUCAAAUUUCUAAACAAUGAUUAAGACAAAUUAUAUGUGGGUUAUAUUACAACACAUAUAUGUGGAUAAUGUUGCCUUUCUCCAUUGAAUUUGAAUUUAAAAGCAGUGAUGGGGCCAACCCCUUUUUUUAGCGCUUACCAUGCCUAAUUUCAGCCAUCAUACUAAGGGUAUGAAAGGCAUAUCUAGCUCCCGGGGGGAAAGCAUCACUAGGCACAUAUGAACUGUUCAAACACAAUUUAGUAGUAUCUAAAAAGAUUACACCUUAAUCCUUGUGUCCAAUACUAAUAAGUAUCUUUACAGACUGUAGAACUUCUAUUGAAAUUUCCAAGGAUUCCAACCUUACGAAUACUUUGAAUAAAAGGUAAUUUAGAGACUUGAAAUUAUGAAAUUCCUACAGAACACAAUCACAUGCCACUGAUUGCAUAUGAAUACUAGAUGAUUACCCCGUGCGUGUUGCAACACAUUUAGUCAAAGUUAGAUAUUGUGCAACCAAAUUUUAAGCUAUCUAAAAAGCAAAAUUAGAUAUUACAUAGAGAUGAGCACGCCAAGGGAAAAUGAAGAAAACCAAAAUUAGAAAUUUUAUUGAAAUACCACAUAUCAGCUAGGUAAAGUACUAGUAACUCAUAUGCUCGAUUAAUGUGCACUCAAAUGUUAGGUAAAUGCAACAUUAUGUGGUUUGUUACAAUACAUUGCACUAUGAACAUUCACAGCUUAUACAUGUUUUUCAUCACAUACAAAUUGGUUUCUAUGCUCCCUCAAAUUACCGACGUGACAUGCCAGCCUGCAACUUUUGAACUCUUGCCAUCCUCCUGGAGGUGAGUGCAGUUAGGGAAUGGAAUGCAUGAGAGCAAAUAUUUCUCUAUAACUUCAUUGAUUUGAACCUGUAUUAAAGGCUUCCACAUAAGCAUUUUAUCUUGAUAAAGUACACAGUCUGAGAAGAAGUAUUUAGUUGUUCUACAACAUAUUGUAAGCCAAGUAUCUAGUUUUCCAUCGAUGAAAAGAACAAUCAAGAUUCUAAGGUUAUUAUCAAAUUAAUGAAUGGAGAUGGUAGUUGUAUUAUCAAGAAAUUAUCACCAAGGAAUAUUUGCAUCGAUUAUUCAUGAAAAUUGCCAUGCCCUCACACUCUCUGUCUCUUUUUCAUGGAAUCUAAUCAUUAACAGGUAUGGGAUUCGGAAAAGUUUACUAAACAAUUAGAGAAAAAUUUGGAAGUUCAAACAAUAACUAAUUGUGAAAAAGACAUGUUGCAAUAUACUAAUGGAGUACAAUAUUUCAAAAAUUGCACAAUAUCUUCAGAUCAUCCUGGAAAUGCAUCUAGACAUCUCAUAUGAAAUAACUGCUUAUUCGAGGCUAUGAUAUUUAAACAUCAUAUAUGAAAAACAAUGAGGUUUCGUUUUAAAAUUUGUUGGCUAGCUAAAGUUGAAAAAUAGUAGCAGGACAUUAAAGAUCAUAAGAGGAAAACAUAUCUUUAUAACCGAACUGUUCAUCUUUUUUCUUUUCAAUAUAUAUGCAGAACUGAAUCACAGAUGGGACAAUAACCUUCCAAUCUCCAACAUGGUGUGGAGUUCAUUAGUCAUUUAGGGAACACAAAAAUCUAGCCAAAGAUGCAUACAAAAAGUGUAGUAUGAAAAAAUCAAUAUGGUAUACUUUACUGUACCCUUCAUGCGCAAACCGAGGAUAUCGAGGAAUUGAAAAGCAAUAUAGAAAUAUGUUGAUACACAUCAACUCUAGGUAAAAGUGCAAAGUAAAUAAAUUGUUAUAGCAUAAUCAAAACUUAAUGACAUAGAUAAGAAAAACAUGAGCAAAUGAACACAAGCGAUCAAAGUCACAACCAAUAAAUCCAUGCAAUCCAAAAUCGAAGUUGUGGGAAUUCACGAAAGGAUUGGGUCCAAUUCAUUGACGUCAUCAGCAUAUGCCUCCUUGACGUGGGCCUCAAUGCCUCACGUGUCCUUGAUUGCCUGUCCUUGCAGCACUACAACAUAUCAUGAAUAUGACCAUGAGGUGUUAGCUGGAAUUUGACGGGAGUGUGGAGUAACUGUCGGGGAAUGCAAUAAUUUCAAAAAAAUUCCUACCCACACGCAAGAUUCAUCUAGGUGAUGCAUAGCAACGAGCGGGGAGAGUGUGUCCAUGUACCCUCAUAGACCGAAAGCGGAAGCGUUUAGUAACGCUGUUGAUGUAGUCGAACGUCUUCGCGAUCCAACCGAUCCAAGUACCGAACGCACGGCACCUCCACGAUCUGCACACGUUCAGCUCGGUGACGUCCCUCGUACUCUUGAUCCGGCUGAGUCUGAGGAAGAGUUUUGUCAGCACAACGGCGUGAUAACGGUGAUGAUGAAAUUACUGACACAGGGCUUCGUGCUAUCUCUUGAGCAUGCGUUGGUUUUCUCUUGAAGAGGAAAGGGUGAUACAGCAAAGUAGCGUAAGUAUUUCCCUCAAUUUUCGAGAACCAAGGUAUCAAUCUAGUAGGAGAUAACACGCAAGUCACCUAGUACCUGCACAAAUAAUCAAGAACCUUGCAACCAACGCGAUAAAGGGGUUGUCAAUCCCUUCAUGACCACUCGCAAAAGUGAGAUCUGAUAAAGAUAAUAAGAUAAAUAUUUUUGGUAUUUUUGUUGUAUAGAUUGAAAAGUAAAGAUUGCAAAAUACUAAACGAGAUGCGAUGUAAAUAAAAGAGAUGCAAUAUAAUAAGAAAGAGACCCGGGGGCCAUAGGUUUCACUAGUGGCUUCUUUCAAGAUAGGAUGUAUUACGGUGGGUGAACAAAUUACUGCCGAGCAAUUGAUAGAAAAGAGCAUAGUUAUAAAGAUAUCUAAGGCUAUGAUCAUGAAUAUAGGCAUCACGUCCGUGUCAAGUAGACCGAAACGAUUAUGCAUCUACUACGAUUACUCCACACAUCGACCGUUAUCCAGCAUGCAUCUAGAAUAUUAAGUUCAUAAGAAUGGAGUAACGCAUUAAGCAAGAUGACAUGAUGUAGAGGGAUAAACUCAAGCAAUAUGAUAUAAACCCCAUCUUUUUAUCCUCGAUGGAAACAAUACAAUACGUGCCUUGCUGCCCCUGCUAUCACUGGGAAAGGACACCGCAAGAUUGAACCCAAAGCUAAGCACUUCUCCCAUUGCAAGAAAGAUCAAUCUAGUAGGCCAAACUAAACCGAUAAUUCGAAGAGACUUGCAAAGAUAUCAAAUCAUGCAUAUAAGAAUUCGGAAAAGAACCAAAUAAUAUUCAUAGAUAAUCAAGUUCAUAAAUCCACAAUUCAUCGAAUCUAGGCAAACACACUGCAAAAUAUUUAAAUCAUGCACAACCCCGAUGACAAGCCAAGCAAUUAUUUCAUACUUUUGAUGUUCUCAAACCUUUUCAAUUUUCACGCAAUACAUGAAUGUGGGCCAUGGAUAUAGCACUAUAGGUGGAGUAGAAUGGUGGUUGUGGAGAAGACAAAAAGGAGAAGAUAGUCUCACAUCAACUAGGUGUAUCAACGGGCUAUGGAGAUGCCCAUCAAUAGAUAUCAAUGCGAAUGAGUAGGGAUUGCCAUGCAAUGGAUGCACUAGAGCUAUAAGUGUAUGAAAGCUCAACAAAUGAAACUAAGUGGGUGUGCAUCCAACUUGCUUGCUCACGAAGACCUAGGCAAUUUGAGGAAGCCCAUCAUUGUAAUACACAAGCCAAGUUCUUUAAUGAAAAAUUCCCACUAGUAUAUGAAAGUGACAAUAUAGGAGACUCUCUAUCAUAAAGAUCAUGGUGCUACUUUGAAGCACAAGUGUGGUAAAAGGAUAGUAGCAUUGUCCCUUCUCUCUUUUUUUCUCAUCAUUUUUUUAUUUGGGACUUUCUCUCUUUCUUUAUGGCCUCUUUUAUUUUUUAUUUUUUUUAUUUUUCGUCUGGAGUCUCAUCCCGACUUGUGGGGGAAUCAUAGUCUCCAUCAUCCUUUCCUCACUGGGACAAUGCUCUAAUAAUGAUGAUCAUCACACUUUUAUUUACUUAUAACUCAAUACUUGAACAAAAUAUGACUCUAUGUGAAUGCCUCCGGUGGUGUAAUGGGAUGUGCAAUGAAUCAAGAGUGACAUGUAUGAAAGAAUUAUGAAGGUGGCUUUGCCAUAAAUACGAUGUCAACUACAUGAUCAUGCAAAGCAAUAUGAUAAUGAUGGAGCGUGUCAUAAUAAACGGAACGGUGGAAAGUUGCAUGGCAAUAUAUCUCGGAAUGGUUAUGGAAAUGUCAUAAUAGGUAGGUAUGAUGGAUGUUUUGAGGAAGGUAUAUGGUGGGUGUAUGAUACCGGCGAAAGGUGCGCGGUAUUAGAGAGGCUAGCAAUGGUGGAAGCGUGAGAGUGCGUAUAACCCAUGGACUCAAUAUUAGUCAUAAAGAACUCACAUACUUAUUGCAAAAAUCUAUUAGUUAUUGAAACGAAGUAUUACACGCAUGCUCCUAGGGGGAUAGAUUGGUAGGAAAAGACCAUCGCUCGUCCCCGACCGCCACUCAUAAGGAAGACAAUCAAAAAAUAACUCAUGCUCCGACUUUAUCACAUAACGGUUCACCAUACGUGCAUGCUACGGGAAUCACAAACUUCAAUACAAGUAUCUCUAAAAUUCACAACUACUCUACUAGCAUGACUCUAAUAUCACCAUCUUCAUAUCUCAAAACAAUCAUAAAGAAUUAAACUUCUCAUAGUAUUCAAUGCACUUUAUAUGAUAGUUUUUAUUAUACCCAUCUUGGAUGCCCAUCAUAUUAGGACUAAUUUUAUAAGCAAAGCAAUUACCAUGCUGUUCUAAAAGACUCUCAAAAUUACAUAAGUGAAACAUGAGAGAUCAAUAAUUUCUAUAAAAUAAAACCACCACCAUGCUCUAAAAAGAUAUAAGUGAAGCACUAGAGCAAAAUUAUCUAGCUCAAAGAUAUAAGUGAAGCACAUAGAGUAUUAUAAUAAAUUCCGAUUCAUGCGUGUCUCUCCAAAAGGUGUGUACAGCAAGGAUGAUUGUGGUAAACUAAAAAGCAAGGACUCAAAUCAUACAAGACGCUCCAAGCAAAACACAUAUCAUGCGGUGAAUAAAAAUAUAGCCUCAAGUAAAGUUACCGAUAGAUGAAGACGAAAGAGGGGAUGCCUUUCGGGGCGUCCCCAAGCUUAGGCUUUUGGUUGUCCUUGAAUUUUACCUUGGGGUGCCUUGGGCAUCCCCAAGCUUAGGCUUUUGGUUGUCCUUGAAUUUUACCUUGGGGUGCCUUGGGCAUCCCCAAGCUUAGGCUCUUGCCACUCCUUAUUCCAAAAUCCAUCAAAUCUUUACCCAAAAACUUGAAAACUUCACAACACAAAACUUAAACAGAAAAUCUCAUGAGCUCCAUUAGUAUAAAAAAAUAAAUCACCACUUUAAGUUACUGAAAUGAACUCAUUAUUUAUUUAUAUUGGUGUUACACCUUCUAUAUUCCAACUUCUCUAUGGUUCAUACCCCCCGAUACUACUCAUAGAUUCAUCAAAAUAAGCAAACAACACACGAAAAACAGAAUCUGUCAAAAACAGAACAAUUUGUAGCAAUCUGUAUCAAACGCAUACUUCUGGAACUCCAAAAAUUCUGAAAUAAAUUGGUGGAUGUGAGGAAUUUGUCUAUUAAUCAUCUGCAAAAAGAAUCAACCUAAAAGCACUCUUCAGUAAAAAAAUGGCAGCUGUUCUUAUGAGCGCAAAAGUUUCUGUUUUUUACAGCAAGAUCGCAAAGACUUCACCUAAGUCUUCCCAAAGGUUCUACUUGGCACAAACACUAACUAAAACAUAAAACCAUUUCGCAGAAAGGAAUAUCAAACAGAAUCCAAACGUAAUGAAACCUUCGGGAGAGUUACUUUUGGAACAAACACAAUUCAGGAGACUUGGAGUGGACGUCAAGGAAGCAACGAGGUGGCCAUGAGGCAGGGAGGCGCGCCCAAGGGGGCUAGGCGCACCCCCACCCUCGUGGGCCCCUCGUGGCUCCAUCGACCUACUUCUUUCGCCUAUAUAUACUCAUAUACCCCAAAAAGAUCCAAGAGCACCACGAAACCCUAUUUCCACUGCUGCAUCCUUCUGUACCCGUGAGAUGAGAUCCCAUCUUGGGGCCUUUUCCGGCGGUCCACCGGAGGGGGAAUCGAUCACGGAGGGCUUCUACGUCAACACCAUAGCCUCUCCGAUGAUGUGUGAGUAGUUUACCACAGACCUUCAGAUCCAUAGUUAUUUGCUAGAUGGCUUCUUCUCUCUCUUUGGAUAUCAAUACAAAGUUCUCCUCAAUCUUCUUGGAGAUCUAUUUGAGGUAAUUCUUUUUGCAGUGUGUUUGUCGAGAUCCGAUGAAUUGUGGGUUUAUGAUCAAGAUUAUCUCUGAAAAAUAUUUGGUUCUUCUCUGAAUUCUUAUAUGCAUGAUUUAAUUAUCUUUGCAAGUCUCUCCAAAUUAUCGGUUUAGUUUGGCCUACUAGAUUGAUCUUUCUUGUGAUGGGAGAAGUGCUUGGCUUUGGGUUCAAUCUUGCGGUGUCCUUUCCCAGUGACAGCAGGGGCAGCAAGGCACAUAUUGUAUUUUUGCCAUCGAGGAUAAAAAGAUGGGGUUUAUAUCAUAUUGCUUGAGUUUAUCCCUCUAUAUCAUGUCAUCUUGCCUAAUGCGCUACUCUGUUCUUAUGAAGUUAAUACUCUAGAUGCAUGCUGGAUAGCGGUCGAUGUGUGGAGUAAUAGUAGUAGAUGCAGAAUCAUUUUGGUCUACUUGUCGCGGACGUGAUGCCUAUAUACAUGAUCAUGCCUAGAUAUUCUCAUAACUAUGCGCUUUUCUAUCAAUUGCUCGACAGUAAUUUGUUCACCCACCGUAGAUUAUUCUAUCUUGAGAGAAGCCACUAGUGAAACCUAUGGCCCCCGGGUCUAUCUUCCAUCAUAUUAUUUACCUAUCAAUUUUCUAUUUCUAUCGCUGUUUAUGUUGCAACCCUUACUUUCCAUUCUAUAUCAUGAAAAUACCAAAAAUAUUUAUCUUAUUAUCUCUAUCAGAUCUCACUUUUGCAAGUGGUCGUGAAGGGAUUGACAACCCCUUUAUCGCGUUGGUUGCAAGGUUCUUAUUUGUUUGUGCAGGUACAAGGCGACUUGCGUGUAACCUCCUACUAGAUUGAUACCUUGGUUCUUAAAAACCGAGGGAAAUACUUAUGCUACUUUGCUGCAUCACCCUUUCCUCUCCAAGGGAAAACCAACACAUGCUCAAGAGGCAGCAAGAAGGAUUCCUGGCGCCAUUGUUGGGGAGGCUUACACCAAGUCAAGUCAAGAUUUGAUCUCCCGCCAACGUGCGAUUUCUGGCGUCAUUGCCGGGGAGAUCUACGCACAAGACAAGACAUACCAAGUACCCAUCACAAACUCUUAUCCCUCGCAUUACAUUAUUUGCCAUUUGCCUCUCGUUUUCCUCUCCCCCACUUCACCUUUGUCGUUUUAUUCGCCCUCUUUUUACGUUCGUCUCCUUUUGCUUGCUUCUUGUGUGCUUGAUUGUUUGUCACGAUGGCUCAAGACAAUACUAAAUUGUGUGACUUUUCCAUUACCAACAACAAUGAUUUUCUUAGCACUCCGAUUGCUCCUAUUACCGAUGCUGAAUCUUGUGAAAUUAUUGCUGCUUUGCUGAAUCUUUUCAUGAAAGAUCAAUUUUUUGGCCUUCCUAGUGAAGAUGCCGCUACCCAUCUAAACACCUUUGUUGACUUGUGUGAUAUGCAAAAGAAGAAAGAUGUGGAUAAUGAUAUUGUUAAAUUGAAGUUAUUUCCGUUUUCGCUUAGAGAUCGUGCUAAAACUUGGUUUUUGUCUUUGCCUAAAAAUAGUAUUGAUUCAUGGAAUAAGUGCAAACAUGAUUUUAUCUCUAAGUAUUUUCCUCCCGCUAAGAUCAUCUCUCUUAGAAACGAUAUAAUGAAUUUUAAGCAAAUUGAUCAUGAGCAUAUUGCACAAGCUCAGGAGAGGACAAAAUUAAUGACACGUGAUUGCCCUACUCAUGGAUUGAAUUUAUGGAUGAUCAUACAAAAUUUUUAUGCUGGAUUGAAUUUUGCUUCUAAAAAUCUUUUAGAUUCGGCCAUGGGAUGCACUUUUAUGUAAAUCACUUUGGGAGAAGCUACUAAACUCCUAGAUAAUAUUAUGGUUAAUUAUUCUCAAUGGCACACCGAAAGAUCUACUAGUAAAAAGGUUCAUGCAAUAGAAGACACUAAUGUUUUAAGUGGAAAGAUGGAUGAACUUAUGAAAUUGUUUGCUAAUAAGAGUAUUUCUUCUAAUCCUAAUGAUAUGCCUUUGUCUACUUUGAUUGAGGAUAAUAAUGAAUCUAUGGAUGUGAAUUUUGUUGGUAGGAACAAUUUUGGUAACAAUGCGUAUAGAGGAAACUUUAAUCCUAGGUCGUUUCCUAGUAAUUCCUCUAAUAAUUAUGGUAAUUCCUACAACAACUCUUAUGGAAAUUUUAAUAAUAUGCCCAUCGGUGUCAAAACCGGCGGAUCUCGGGUAGGGGGUCCCGAACUGUGCGUCUAGGCGGAUGGUAACAGGAGACAAGGGACACGAUAUUUUACCCAGGUUCGGGCCCUCUUGAUGGAGGUAAAACCCUACGUCCUGCUUGAUUGAUAUUGAUGAUGUGGGUAUUACAAGAGUAGAUCUACCACGAGAUCAAGGAGGCUAAACCCUAAAAGCUAGCCUAUGGUAUGAUUGUUGUUAUUCUACGGACUAAAACCAUCCGGUUUAUAUAGACACCGGAGAGGGCUAGGGUUACAUAGAGUCGGUUACAAUGGUAGGAGAUCUACAUAUCCGUAUGGCCAAGCUUGCCUUCCACGCCAAGGAAAGUCCCAUCCGGACAUGGGACGAAGUCUUCAAUCUUGUAUCUUCAUAGUCUUGGAGUCCGGCCGAUGAUGAUAGUUCGGCUAUCCGGACACCCCCUAGUCCAGGACUCCCUCAGUAGCCCCCGAACCAGGCUUCAAUGAUGACGAGUCCGGCGCGUAUAUCGUCUUCGGCGUUGCAAGGCGGGUUCUCCUUCAAACUUCAUGUACCUGUCGAAUAGCGUCCGGCUUCCUUAUAAAUGUUGCGCUCCUUGGCUUCUACGUCCAAUAAUGGCCCUCUUCCACGUGUCAUAUGAAUGCGAAAAGCUAGGGUAUUUUUACGUUUUACCCCCUAGCCACGCGAACGAGCUGCCUAUAAGAGAGGCGAGGAUCUAGAUCCAACUCACACCAUCCUCCUUCCGCAAGUACUCAUCGAAGUGCCUCUGACAAAAAUCCAUUCCAUCAUGGAUAGUCGACGCGGCUCCUCCUCUCGCGCUCCCAGCCCUCAGCCAGGAGAUUGGGGGAAAUGCUCAGUUCCACACAGCGAGCUAGUGACACUCCAAACCGAGGGAUAUCUUCCCCCAGCCUUCAUGGUUCCGGUUCGAGCCGGACUGGCCACCUUCAGGGGUGGAAAGCAGGCGGAGAGCGUCACCAACCCUUCCAAAGGAGAGCGGGUAUGCUUCGUCCCUUAUCUAAUAAGGGGACUCGGAUUUCCCAUACAUCCGUUUCUCUGGGGGCUCCUGGAGCUCUACGGACUCCAGCUUCACCACCUUACACCUGCCUCCAUUCUGCACAUCGCGGGCUUUGUAGCUCUUUGUGAGCUGUUCUUGGGCAUCGAGCCCCAUUUUGCACCGUGGAAGAGAUUGUUUUGCCUCGUACCCCGUUCUCACGAGGGGUCGAUAUAUCAAGUGGGCGGAGCCGAAAUAUGGCGCAUCGUCGGGACCGGAUAUCUAUCCGGUACCCCGAAGAAGGCGUCCGAAGACUGGCCUUCAGAAUGGUUCUAUAUGGAGGACGCCCCUCUGCCGGAUCCAGUUCGGAUCGGCCUCCCGGAGUGCAGCAACGCUCCCUUGAAGAAACGCCUGAGUUGGCGCCCGCGAAGCCCUCAACGGGAAGAUCAUGGGAGCGUCCCUUAUCUGAUGGGCCGAAUAAAGUUACUGGCCCACUCCGGAUUGACCAUGAUUGGAGUCAUGGACACAUGCAUCAUGCGAGGGGUGCAGCCGCUUCAAUAUAGGGGCCACCCCAUGUGGGAUUUCAACGAGGAAGAUGACGCCACCCGUCAUGGCCGCAAAGGGCCGGGAUCGGCCGCCGAUCUUAAAGAUCAUGUCCGGCUUGUACAAGGGGGAGAAGGAGGACUUUCUCCGCACGAGUCCAUUAAAUGGAUUCUCCAUGAAUAACCCUCGGAGCUGGGUAAGCGGACGUUUAUCUAUCCGAUCCAUAUUCCCAAAGUCAAGUGUCUUACUUUGUGAUUUUGACGCAGGAGCUGCGCCGGGACGUGGAGGGCAUACAAAGCCUGACUCCACAGCCCGAGGAUCUGGGACGAUCCCUUGAUCCGGCCUCCGAAGAGGAUCUGGACAUAAAGGUGGAGCUGAUUGACGGGGUGUUCCACCAACUUAGCAUGGACAAUGUUCUAGUCACCAUUACGGCUGACUAUCCCGGUUUAUCUCCAGCUUCCCAGGUGACUACGACCGGAGUCCUGACACCAUUAUUUGAUUCAUGCUCAUUUCUGACCAUCAUAUACCGAUGGUGCAUUGCAGGAAGCGUCUUUAAGGCGGGAAGCCGAACCCGCGGUGGCUGACCAACAAGGGUCAGUUCGGCCCAGCAGGCGGAAGAGGAGUGCGUCGCGAAUCGAAACAUCGCCGCAACGGUACGGCGCACCGCCGUUUUUAAGGGAAAGAUCCCUAGGAGGUAUAUUAACGCUCAUGACUUUUCCAGGAGAAAGAGCGCUCGCCGGACAGUGUCCGGAGAGGUUGCCAAUCAAGCCUCCGCCAGCCAUGCUCCAACGCGUGGUCCGGAAGGGGAGGCGAACACAAGGCAUGAGCCGGAUGCUCCUCCAACGGAGGAUGCCGACAGGCUGUCCGCCACCAGGUCUGAGGUGGAGAGCGCCAUGAAUCACAGGCGUCGCGGGACAGUUCUUCGUGACGCGUGUUUCUCCCCGGAGGCGUUGAAUGCCUUUAAUGCGGGAGACACGCACCUCCGUGCCGCUCAAGAUGGUUUAACCAGAGCCACGGAGCAGUAUUUGAAGGACAUACGGGCAAGGAAUUUUAAUAGUUAUAUAUGCCAGUAGCCCCCGAGACUUAAAAUAGUUAAAAUAACUGAUUUAAGGAUCAUUUGUUAUGCAGGAUCUUACGGAGAAGAAUACCCACCUGUCCCAGGAGCUUCAAGAGUGCAAGGCCCAACUUGAGGCCGCACUGGCCGCCACAGGGGGAGCUACGGAGACCCCUGCUGGUAAUACAUACUUCGAAAAGAUAAGUAGUUAAUAAAGUGCAGCGUGUGCGUAAAUCUGACAAUAAUAUUGCAGAGGGUGCCGGACUAGAUCCGGACAAGCAACAGCUACUGCGCCAGCUGAAGGCUAGCGAGAGGGUGCUUAUGAAGGUGCAGCAGGAGAGGAACAAGCUCCAAGAUGCCCACACCCAGCUGGGAGAAGAGCUGAAAGGUGUUCGGGCCCAGCUGUUUGGCUCCGUGAAGGAGAAUCAGCGGCUUCGUCACGGCAUUUAUAGUAAGUGCUUGAGCAAACUCCUUUGAAAAGAAGAGUUCGGCGAGGAAGUCGAUUGACAGAAAUGUGUCUUAUAGGUGUGCUCACAGGUCGCCCUGCGGAGGAAAUGCCCGGUUCAACGGGUGACCAACUCCUCGAGCUGAUGCAACUGCACGAACGUGUUCGGCAAGCGAUGAGUGGCAUCGCCCAGGCCUUAUGGCCGUCCGUCUCCCUACCCGAAAGCCUUGAAGGGCUUGCCGAGAAGCUGCAGGGAGCACGACAGCGCUUCCAUCUGUGGAAGAUAUCGGCCUGCCGUCAAGGCGCCAGGGAGGCCUGGGCCAUGGUGAAGACGUGGUACAAGAAGGUGGAUCCGAACCACAUGGCCGAGGUCGGACCCGUGGGGCCCGAUGGGAAGGAGAUCCCUGUGAGCUUAAUGUACGGCCAAGUAGAGUUGGCCGCUAAGUAUUCCCAACAGGACUGUAAAUUAGACAGCCUGUUAGACGGGAUUGAAGAGGAGUACAAUCAGUCAAUUUGAUGAUGUAUUUUAAAAUGACAUGUAAAAUGCCUUCUAGCCGGAUUGUAGAUCGUUUGUCUUUGCCGACCUUUUCGCUUCAACCUCGGGACCCUAGAGUCCGGAGUGUGUCCGAAUACCUUCUCAGUUAUGAAAAAACCGGGGCAAUGCAUGGAGACCAGGCAUAGGGGUCAUUAGUGCUUUAUCAGACAAGUGCCCAACUAGUUAUGUUAUAUUACAUGGUUAGUAAGAAACAUCUUCCAGGGAGAAUAGUUCCGUUAGGGGUUCCUUUCCUUGGGAGGCAUGCCCUGAGGUGCAUGUCCGUACUGCGAAGAGAGCAGAAAAAGCAUCUGGAGGCGGAUAAGUUAAAUAAGUAAUAAAUCAUCUUUCAAGUCACCGACCGAAUAUUCCCUUAAGAACGCUAGCUUUCAGCUUCACCCAGUCUGAGGUACACAUCCGGCUGACCCGGCAGUAACAAUCGCAGAGGUGCUCCCUUUACCUCCUAGCCGAACAAUCGGGAAUGUAGGGGUAAGCACAGGAGCCAGGCAACCCAGCUUGGCCAAAACUUAAGUCAUAUCGAUGCAUAUAAUGGUGAAUAAAAGGUACAUGCGGAAGUAUGACACAUGUGUUGGGCAUGAAGCCCGUAUAAAUAUGCUUCUGUUAAAGAAGCCCCCAGGUAUAAUGAGUGCUAGGAGCACAUCAAGUGUGUGCGAAUAAUGCGCAAAUCAGCCUAUCAAAGGCUUUUACUAAAAAAAAGUGGGAAGAAGGAAGGGGACAAGAGACAGUGAAAAUGUAAAAGGUGGACGGAGGAGGGAGAUGAACUCUGAGUCCGGCGCUAGGCGUAGAAUCUUCGGAGACGGGCUGCGUUCCAUGGGUUUGGCUCGAGUCGGUUGUCAGAUGCGUUACGUAGACGGUAUGCUCCGCCGGUCAGGACUUGGUCGAUGAUGAAGGGACCUUCCCAUUUGGGCUUAAAUUUGUCCUUUUUCUUGUCCGGCAGGCGUAGAACAAGUUCGCCAACAUUGUAAGUUUUGGCCCGUACUUCUCUGCUUUGAUAUCUUCGAGCCUGCUGCUGAUAAAAUGCGGAACGAGCUUGUGCCACGUCCCGCUCGUCCUCUAAGGCGUCCAAACUGUCCUGCCGAUCCAACUCGGCUUCUCUUUCUUCGUACAUGUGCACGCGAGGUGAGUCAUGAAUUAUAUCGCAGGGCAGAACUGCCUUUGCGCCGUACACCAUAAAAAAUGGUGUGAAUCCGGUAGUGCGGUUUGGCGUGGUCCGCAGCCCCCAGAGUACAGAGUCGAGCUCCUCUACCCAGUGCGUGUUAGAUUCCUUGAGGGACCGCACUAGUCUGGGUUUGAUGCCGCUCAUGAUUAGACCGUUUGCUCGUUCGACUUGACCAUUAGUUUGGGGGUAAUAGACUGAAGCGUAGUCGAGCUUGAUGCCCAUGUUUUUGCACCAGAGUUUAACCUCGUCGGCCGUGAAAUUCGUGCCGUUAUCAGUGAUGAUGCUGUGGGGGACACAAUAACGGUGUACUACCCCGGAUAUGAAGUCUAUCACGGGUCCGGAUUCGGUUGUUUUAACUGGCUUGGCCUCUAUCCAUUUGGUGAAUUUGUCCACCAUGACCAAUAGGUAUUUUUGCUUGUGGGUUCCCCCUUUAAGGGGUCCAACCAUAUCAAGCCCCCAGACCUCGAACGGCCAGGUGAUGGGUAUAGUUUUGAGGGCGGUGGGUGGCAUGUGGCUUUGAUUAGCAAAGAGCUGGCAACCGACGCAUCGUUGGACUAAGUCCUGAGCAUCUACCUGGGCAGUCAGCCAAUAAAAUCCUGUACGGAAGGCCUUGCCUACAAGGGCCCGGGCUGCGGCGUGGUGCCCAUCGAGUCUGGUGUGAAUUUCAGCCAGGGGAUUUCGCCCUUCCUCUUCAGAGAUACACCUUUGAAGGACUCUGGUUGUGCUUUUCUUAUAAAGUUCUCCCUCAUGGACCUUGUAGGCUUUAGAUCGCCGAACUAUGCAGCGGGCCUCAUUUUGGUCUUCGGGGAGUUCCUGCCUAGUUAAGUAGGCUAGGAAUGGUUCCGUCCACGGGGCGAUUACUGCCAUUAUUUCGUGGGCUGAGGGUGUUAUUUCAUUGGCUGAGCCAUCGACUGUGUCAGAAUGUUCCGUGUUGGGUGGUGCGGCUGGUUCCGGGUUGCUAUUUCGGGACUCCUCUUCCCAUAGUACGGAUGGCUUAAAGAGCCGCUCCAGGAAGAUGUUUGGAGGGACGGCGUCGCAUUUUGCGCCGAUGCGCGCCAACACAUCGGCUGCCUGGUUGUUGUCCCGGGCUACAUGGUGGAAUUCGAGUCCUUCGAACCGAGCUGACAUUUUUAAGACGGUGUUACGGUAGGCAGCCAUUUUCGGAUCCUUGGCGUCAAAGUCUCCAUUUACUUGGGAUAUUGUGAGGUUUGAAUCCCCGUGGACCUCUAGGCGUUGAAUGCCCAUGGAGAUGGCCAUCCGGAGACCAUGUAGAAGGGCCUCGUAUUCGGCUGCAUUGUUGGAGUCCGUGUACAUUAUUUGAAGUAUGCAUUGGACUGUAUCUCCAGUUGGGGACGUCAAGACGACGCCAGCCCCCAAGCCGGCCAACAUUUUAGAGCCGUCGAAGUGCAUAAUCCAAUUGGAGUAUGCGCCGUACUCUUUAGGGAGUUCGGCUUCAGUCCAUUCCGCGACGAAGUCAGCCAAAACUUGCGACUUUAUAGCUCGCCGUGGUUUGUAGGUUAUAUCGAAUGGUGUAAGCUCAAUGGCCCAUUUUGCAAUCCUGCCCAUCGCGUCGCGAUUGUUUAUGAUGUCGUUGAGAGGUACUUUGGAGGCCACUAUUAUCGAACACUCUUGAAAGUAGUGUCGCAGCUUCCGGGAUGCCAUGAACACCGCGUACGCUAUCUUUUGAUAAUGUGGGUACCGGGACUUGCAUGGAGUUAGGACAGUGGAUACGUAGUACACUGGUUUUUGAAGAGGGAAUUUGUGCCUUUCUGUUUCUCAUUCGACGACGAGCACCACACUUACAACUUGAUGUGUUGCCGUGAUAUAUAACAACAUUGGUUCGCCCAAGUUGGGCGUGGCCAGGACCGGAUUUGUUGCCAGUAUGGCCUUUAUUUCUUCGAGUUCGGCUGUGGCAGCGUCUGUCCAUUCGAAGUGUUCGGUGCGCCUGAGGAGGCGAUAGAGGGGCAAUGCUUUUUCUCCCAAACGGGAGAUAAAGCGGCUUAGGGCCACCACGCAUCCAGUCAAAUUUUGUAUUUGUUUGAGGUCUUUUGGGAUGUCCAAUUGUGACAGAGCUCGGAUCUUGGCUGGGUUUGCUUCAAUUCCUCUACCGGAUACAAUGAAGCCCAAGAGCUUUCCGACUGGUACGCCAAAAACGCAUUUUUCCGGGUUAAGCUUAAUGUCAUAUGCUCGGAGGUUGUCGAAUGUGAGCCUCAAAUCAUCUAUUAGAGUUUCGACGUGUUUGGUCUUGACAACCACAUCAUCUACGUAUGCCUCCACUGUUUUGCCGAUCAUGGUAGCCAGACAUGUCUGAAUCAUGCGCUGAUAUGUUGCGCCGGCGUUUUUAAGUCCGAAGGGCAUUGUAUUGAAGCAGAAUGGUCCGUAUGGAGUAAUGAAUGCCGUUGCGGCCUGGUCUAUUUCCGCCAUCUUGAUUUAAUGGUAUCCGGAGUAUGCGUCGAGGAAACACAAUGAAUCAUGCCCCGCGGUAGCAUCGAUGAUUUGGUCGAUGCGGGGGAGGGGGAAAGGAUCCUUUGGACAGGCCUUAUUAAGGUCUUUAAAAUCCACGCAAAGGCGCCAGGAUUUGUCCUUUUUUGGUACCAUUACCAGGUUUGCUAGCCAGUCCGGAUGUUUUAUAUCUCUGAUGAAUCCGGCUUCCAAUAGUUUGGCUAGAUCCUCUCCCAUUGCUUGUCUUUUGGGUUCGGAAAAUUGUCGAAGAGCCUGUUUGACUGGCUUGAAUCCUUUUAGGAUAUUUAGGCUGUGCUCUGCCAGCCUGCGUGGGAUUCCUGGCAUAUCUGAAGGGUGCCAGGCAAAAAUGUCCCAAUUUUCCUGAAGGAAUUCUCGUAGUGUGGCUUCUACAUCAGGGUUUAAUUGUGCCCCGAUGGAGGCCGUCUUUGUGGGGUCCGUAGGAUGGACCUGGAAUUUGACUAUUUCGUCCGCUGGUUUGAAAGAUGUGGACUCAGAUCUCUUGUCGAGUAUCACAUCGUCCCUAUUCACCAUGGAGCGUAGUGCCGUGAGUUCUUCUGCCGCUAGUGCUUCGGAUAGUGCCUCUAGGGCUAGUGCGGCUGUUUUGUUUUUGGCGUGGAGUGCUAUGUCCGGAUCACUGAUCAGAGUGAUGAUUCCAUUGGGCCCGGGCAUUUUGAGCUUCAUGUACCCGUAAUGGGGUACGGCUUGGAAAAUUGUGAAUGUCUCUCGCCCUAAUAGAGCGUGAUAUCUGCUGCUGAACGGGGCCACUUGGAACAUGACUUCCUCGGACCUGUAGUUGUCCGGCGAGCCGAACACCACAUCUAGUGUGAUUUUUCCUGUGCAGCGUACUUCCCGACUAGGGAUUAUUCCUCUAAAGGUUGUGCUGCUUCGCUCAAUGCGGCUCCAGUCUAUUUCCAUUUUUUGGGGAGUUUCCUCGUAGAUGAGGUUUAAUCCGCUGCCGCCAUCCAUGAGUACCUUGAUAAGGCGAAAACCGUCCACUAUGGGACUGAGGACCAAUGCGGCUGGUGCUCAGGCUGUUCGGAAUUUAGGUUCGUCACUGGCAUUGAAGGUGAUAGCCGUGUCGCUCCAUGGAUUUGUUGUUGCUACUUGGUAGACUUCGGUGAGGCUGCGGAUAGUUCGUUUCCGCAUAUUAUUUGAUGUGAAAGUCUCGAAGACUGUUAAUACCGUACUGGUACUGUUGGGCUGGUUCUCCGGGGCUAGAAGACCUUCGCCACUUUUGGCCACCUGCCGUAGUAUCCAACAUGCUCGAAGGCUAUGUGUUGGAGUGGCGCCCUCUGUAUUAUGGAUUUUGCAGGGUCCGCUGAGCCAUCCCUCCAGUACUGUUCCGUACCCUUUGGGGGGUUUUUGCUUUUUGGUUUUUGACCCAGGUGCUUGAGCAUGGUGCACCCUUUUAUUCCGGACUAGGGUUGUGUUCAGGGCUGGAUUGUCCCAAAAUCUAGUUUCGGUUUUCCAGGCAUUCUCCAUCGCACAGGAUUUUCAUACUAUGGUUGCCAGGUCGGCGAAGCGCGUAACUUCGCGAUGACUUAUGGCAUUCAUGAUUCCCUUGUCCGUGCAAUUGUUGCAGAAAAUAGAGAUUGCGCUUUCCUCACGGCAGUCCUUUAUCCUGUCCAUAACCAGGAGGAAUCUGGCCCAGUAAUGAUGUACUGUUUCAUCGGGCUCUUGCCGUAUUUGAGAUAGAUCGCUUGUGUUUGGGUGGGUGGGUGGAAUUAAAUUCGGAACCCCGCCCAAUCUGAGGCUCAAAGGCUGAGGAGUUUCCGGAUUUGGAAGCUUGGAUUGCUGGACGUCGUCCAACGAAUCUAGUCUGCUGCCUGACUUUAGGUUUAGUACUCGAUUGACGUCCGUCCCUCCGCGGGAAUCCGGCAUGGAGGGAUCGGGAAUCCGAACAUAACUGGUUUUUAACAUAGAAGAGGAGUCGCCGCGUUGUUCUUCUACCACAGCAACAUGGUGGGUAGCCUGGGGAGAAUUAAUUUCUCUUAGAUCGGUUUUAAGCCCAAUCUGAUCGUAGUCUGUAGUGACCCCCAGGGCGGCGAUGCGAUCCAAGAGCUCGUUUACGGAAGAGAGCUCCAUCGGCGAAUUCUGAGUUGAUGCGAAGAUCGCUUUUGAUGACCCGAGAGGUCAUCGUCGAAGCGGUGGCCGAACAGGCGGUCAUAAGAAAACCACCUAGCCGUAUAGCUUGACCGGCGGCCAAAGCUCCUUUGGCAAUGGUACCGUCUUUAAAGACGGGAAGAGGCAUCCUUCCUGAUUGCGACGGCACAGAGGAACUCUCAAUGAAAGCACCAAUGUCGGUGUCAAAACCGGCGGAUCUCGGGUAGGGGGUCCCGAACUGUGCGUCUAGGCGGAUGGUAACAGGAGACAAGGGAUACGAUGUUUUACACAGGUUCGGGCCCUCUUGAUGGAGGUAAAACCCUACGUCCUGCUUGAUUGAUAUUGAUGAUGUGGGUAUUACAAGAGUAGAUCUACCACGAGAUCAAGGAGGCUAAACCCUAAAAGCUAGCCUAUGGUAUGAUUGUUGUUAUUCUACGGACUAAAACCAUCCGGUUUAUAUAGACACCGGAGAGGGCUAGGGUUACAUAGAGUCGGUUACAUUGGUAGGAGAUCUACAUAUCCGUAUCGCCAAGCUUGCCUUCCACGCCGAGGAAAGUCCCAUCCGGACACGGGAUGAAGUCUUCAAUCUUGUAUCUUCAUAGUCUUGGAGUCCGGCCGAUGAUGAUAGUUCGGCUAUCCGGACACCCCCUAGUCCAGGACUCCCUCAAUGCCCUUUGAUUUUGAGACUAGUGUUAAAGAAUUUAUGAUUUCUCAAAAGAAUUUCAAUGCUUUGCUUGAAGAGAAAUUGCCUAAGAUUGAUGAGUUGGCUAGGAACAUGGAUAGAAUUGAUUCUUUGAAACUUAGAUCUCUUCCACCUAAGCAUGAUAUCAAUGAGUCUCUCAAAGCUAUGAGAAUUUCCAUUCAUUAGUGCAAAGAAAGAACCACUAGGAUGCGUGCUAAAAAGGAUUGCUUUAUGAAAGCGUGUUCUUCUAGUUUUCAUGAUAAUAAGGAUGAAGAUCUAAAAGUGAUUGAUGUAUCUCCUAUUCAAUCUUUAAUUUGCAAUAUGAAUCUUGAUAAUGAUAGGACUGGAGAUGAGUCAACUUUCAAUAAAAGGCAUCCCAAUGAUUCAGAGUUUUUAGACCUUGAUGCAAAAAUGGUAAAAGUGGGAUUGAAGAGGUCAAAACUUUACAUAGCAAUGAACCCACUAUUUUGGAUUUCAAGGAAUUUAAUUAUGAUAAUUAAUAGAUUGUAUUUCCUUGUUGCAAUCCGCGUUAAAUUCUCCUCAUGCUUAUAGUCAAAAUAAAGCUUUUACUAAACAUAUUGUUGAUGCUUUAAGGCAAUCUUAUGAAGAAAAGCUUGAAUUAGAAGUUUCUAUCCCUACAAAACUUUAUGAUGAGUGGGAACCCACUAUUAAAAUUAAGAUUAAAGAUCAUGAAUGCUAUGCUUUGUGUGAUUUGGGUGCUAGUGUUUCCACGAUUCCAAAAACUUUGUGUGAUGUGUGAGGUUUCCGUGAAUUUGAUGAUUGUUCUUUAAACUUGCAUCUUGCGGAUUGCACCAUUAAGAAACCUAUGGGAAGGAUUAAUGAUGUUCUUAUUGUUGCAAAAUAGGAAUUAUGUGCCUGUAGGAAUUCCACCAUUAAGAAACCUAUGGGAAGGAUUAAUGGUGUUGAUGUAGAACCCCUCCAUGAUCGAUUCCCCCUGCGGCAGAUCGCCGGAAAAGGCCCCAAGAUGGGAUCUCACGGGUACAGAAGGUUGUGGCGGUGGAAAAGUGGUUUCGUGGCUCCCCUGAUGGUUUUAGGGUAUGAGAGUAUAUAUAGGUGAAAGAAAUAGGUCGGUGGAGCUCUGUGGGGCCCACGAGGAUGGGGACGCGCCUACCCCCCUGGGCGUGCCCUCCUACCUUGUGGCCACCUCGUGGAGUUCCAGACUUCAACUCCAAGUCUUCUGGAUUGUGUUUGUUCCAAGAAAGAUCCUCGCAAAGGUUUCAUUCCGUUUGAUAUUCCUUUUCUGCAAAACACUGAAAUAGGCAAAAAAAACAGAAACUGGCACUAGGCCUUCGGUUAAUAGGUUAGUCCCCAAAAAAAUAUAAAAGAGCAUAUUAAAGCCCAUUAAACAUCCAAAACAGAUAAUAUAAUAGCAUGGAACAAUCAAAAAUUAUAGAUACGUAGGAGAUGUAUCACUUUGCCUAAGCUCUACAACGAUAUGACCAAGGUGGAAAUCUGUGGAGGGGGGCACCGCACACGGCUAAGACAACUCUCAACUUGUGUGUUCUAGGGUGCCCCCUGCCCCGUAUAUAAAGGAGCAAGGGGGAGGCUGGCUGGCCCUCAUGGGGCGUGCCUCGAGUAGGAUUCCUACUAGGAAUCCUAUUCCUAGUAGGUUUCCAACAAGGGAAGAGAGAGGUGUCGGAGUAAUUAGCCACGGGUAGCCUCAUCGGCCCCCCAUGGCGCUUCAAGACAUCGGGGCCGGCUGGUCCCUCAAGAUUCAAAGAGCCAAGCGCCGCCUCCUCGCGGCCGGCUGGUCCAAGCGGCCGGCUGCCAGGAGACGGCAAAGCCCGGCAGGCAGUCACGAGGUGGGCCGGCUUCUAGCAGGCGGCCUCCAGAGAGGCCGGUCCCUAGAAGGCGGCCCUAAGCGUCCUCAAAGUCUACGUCCACAUCAGUGCGAUGAGAAAGGGCAUGGCUACAGCGCGCCUAGCCACCCCCAAAUCUAGCGCCAAGCAUGGCCACAGUGCAUCGUACCAGACGGAGAUCUCCCGUCCGGCGCGACACUGUUGCCACGCUACCCAUGACGUCACCCUUGUCAGUGAGAGCCAUGCUCCCACGACGAGCUGUUUGUACGGACCGCAGGCGGUGGGCCCUACCUGUCCACAAGGAGCCAGAAGGCGGCGAGCCCAGACCAGACGGCUCGUGGGUAGGCCAGCUAAUGACCGGGCGGUCCUCCCCCUCCUGGGGGUUUGGGCGCCAUUAACCAGAAGAUACAGGGAGUGGCUACAGUGAACGCCCGCCAGGAGGCGGUACUGUAGCCACGCCUACCCUGACAAAGCAUGCAUCAUUAGCCACACGGCUACAAUGCCGAGCAGCCGACAAGACCCGCAAGUGGUGGGCGCGGCUUGUCGGCCAAGUACGAGACAGCCGGCGGGACCCACCAGAUGGCGGGCCCCAGCAGCCAGCGAAGAAGCCGGCGACCAGAGACACUGACAGCCAGGUCUUACACCCGGCUAGAUUACCAUUGUACCCCUGAGGGGUAGGACUAUAUAAACCCCCCAGUCCCAUGCAAAGGGUUCCAGUUCCGGUUGAGCCUCAUCCAGACCUUAGUUCAUCCACACACACAUAUAGAGAGAGGGAGCUAGGGCUAGCCUUGUUCUUCUUCCUCCUCUGGAGAAACAGCUCAAGGAGCAAGCUUGUAGCCACCAUUGUUGCUUGAGUGAUCAUACGGAGACCCCGCAGAGCAGGACUAGGGGUGUUAUCUCCGAGGAGAGCCCCGAACCUGGGUAAGAUUCGCCGGCGUGCAUGUCUUUGCCUUAUCCCGUUUCCUGGCACCAGCGAUGUCUUACUAGCCCCCUCCAUGAUAAGCCAUCCUUUAUCAUAUGUCGCACGACACCCCCGACAUUUUCCACCCACCGUGGGGCUAGGUGCACCGUCAUCCGGGAUCUGUUCUGGACGGGAACCCUCUUCCUCCCCAGCGAGCGCAGCCAGCCCGGCACGCCCGAUGGCGUGAGCACAGAUGCGUUGCGUGGUGCGGACCUUGCCUGUGCAACGGCUGGCCUCGCUGACCUUGUUGGCGAGAUCCGCCUCUUCGACAAGCCCGCGUCUGGUUAUAGUAAGGGGCGAACCAAGUGCUUGCGCGAAGAAGCGAAUCAAUCAGAAUGGAGACAAGGAAAGGAAUCGAGGCCCGGCCCGGUAGCGAUGCCUCUCACGCGGAUGGGAGUUACUUUUCUUUAUCACCGUAAGCAUUAUGAAAUGGACCCGCAUUCCCCUUUGCUUUUCUUUUGCAACUAAGCUUAAAAGAAAUAUAGUAGUCUUGCAAGCCAUUAGAAAACUCAUUAAGUGCUCUGUUGAGUGAAUGCCUGUUGAGAAGCUUAGGUCAUACAUUUCCACCUAAUUAGAAUACAACCAUGAAGGUGGGGUUUGAAUGCCAUACAACUAUAUACUCUGGUAAGUAGGAUUGGAAUGUAGCCGAAAGUUGCCUCAUCGACCUCCUUCGCAAGCUCGACAUCGCCAACGAGCCGGCCUCCGACCUGGAGUCGAUCGGCUCCACCGACCCGAUGCUCGUCGACUCCGACACCGCGUCCCUCGACACCUUCCCCGCCAAUGUGGUGAUCGUCAAUGACCCGCUCCGUCACGCUGACAGCGGCGGCAACACCAUCACGGAGGUGCUCGUCAUCAGCCACGGCGGAGCCUCUGGUGGGGAUGCCCAAGACCCCCUCCAGGCGGCAGUGCGAGACCUCUCUGCACCUAUUCCCGAAGACGCCGACGCCGAGACGCUGGAAGCCCGCUGCGUCACGCUCAUCGAAAGCGCCAAGAAGUUGGCCACCAUGAGACGCCUUUCAGAAGCCUACCAGCUCGAGAUCGACCAUGCUGUUGGUGGCACGCCGGCUGUCGGCGGGCCUAGCUGCAUUGGCCUGGUCCGGCAGCGUGGCACUGCCAUUGCUAGCAUGUUUGGGGUGGACCGCCCUGUCUAUGCCACGCCCGUGGAGAACCUACGAGCUGCCCAGGCAGACACUACAAAAAAAGACACAUCCGUGACAUUUUGGGCCGAACAAUUUUUUUUCUGUCAUACUUAUGACAAUUCUAUGACGGUAAUUAUGACCAAACCCGGUAUCAUCAUAGAUGUGAUGGGCUCCUACUUCUAUGACAAAAAAUCAUGACAGAAAAUGGGCUUUUCGUCCAGGGCGGGCCGAAGAUGCAGCUGCAUGACAUUCUUUGGGCCAUCCAUGACGGAAAAAACCAUGGUAGAAGCGAGGGCGAGGAAAAUUUCGGGGAGUUCCCGAUUACGGUGGGUGGUCGGGGCCGAGCGAUGUGCGUUUCUCUCAUACACGUACGCGUGUGUGUGCGAGGCGUUGGGCUCUAACUGAACCCGAGCGAGGCGUCGCCUAACUGAACCCGAGCGAUUGCACUGCAGGCUACGCGUUACUGAACCCGAGCGAUCAAGCGAUUUCUUCGCUACUGCUGCUAACUGAAGCCAAUCAAUGCUGUGUAACGCCCCGGAUACAACUUUCCAUAUUCCUAACUCCAACUCUUGUCAUUUCCGGCUAUGUGAUAUGUUAUUUCCUCCGUGGUUGGGUUUUUGUCUGUUGUUUUGCAUUUUGUUCUUGUCAUGCAUCUCGUCUCAUGUCAUCAUUCGCAUUGCAUCGGCAUCGUUUUCAUAAAACUUGCAUUCGCUCGUAGUUGCCGCUUCUUCCUUUUCCCUGUUGACCCCUCUCAGAUCAACCGGACCGCUCUCUUCAAGAUUUCCCUUCCUUUGUUAUCGUAUCAAUUCACUCAUUCAUUCGUUGUUUCCAAAUUCCACCGGUGGUUCCAUCAAUACCUUCUCGAGUUUGCGCUAUAUCUCUUUUAUCCUUUCAACGAGAAUAAGUAGUAUGCAUAUCCGUUGCUUGCCAUCAAUUUAAAUUGGUGAAGGAUACGCAUAAUGUAAUUCUUAUUAUUGUUUCAUCCAAGUGAUCUAGUUUCUUCUUUCCAGAGUUAUUCAUCAUGUCACAUUUCUCGGUUCGAGAUGCUUCAUCUUUUCUUUUCCGGAGUUCCAAGUUUUUCGCAUUAUCUCAUCGCGAAGAUCCAUCUAAAUCAUUUCAAGGCUUGAAUCCUAUUCUUUUCAUCCUUUUGUUUACUGGAGGCUCUACAUGAUGGUUCGUCAAGGAUUCUUUUCAUUCUUCAAUUGUUCUUCAAGAUUUCUCUUGAAGUUAAGAUCAGCCAAGCUAUACUCUAAAAAAUAAACAUGGUGCUCAACACAUGUUUUGUUUUGAGGAGCUCAAGUUUUCUUCAUCUUGCAUUCCAAAGUGCAAUUCCUUCUAUCUUGUCUUUGACAUGGUGCUAUGUCAUCCUUGACAAUUUCUCUUCAUGUUUCAUGAUUCACAUGUUGUCAAGAAUGAGAUAUUUUAAAUCCAUCAAUCCCUUUGUUGGAGUUAUCUUGGGUCAUAUUUCACCUAAAGCCUUCCCUAAGGAAUGUUGCUAUUUGUGGUGCUUAUCAAUGAUCCAAUUUUCCUCCUUCUCUUCUCGGUGAAGAAGUUUUUCAUCUCUUCGGUGCUCUCAACCAAUCAAUGGUUUCCAUUAGUGGCCGGUUGUCAUCUCACAGUCUUGAGAUGUUUUCCAUAAGCCCACUACAAGCUUAUUCGUUUCGUUGUUGGUUUUCCAACAAUUCCGUUCUAACCUUCUUGGAAGGGUGCUUUCCAAGAUUAUUUGUGGCAGAAGUUGGCAUUUUUCUUCUCCAUUCUUUUAUUCCAAUGAUCUAUCUUCUAUUCUUUGUUCCGGAGGUAGUGUGUUGUUGAUUUCAUCAAGUAUCAUCCCAUCUUCUCACGGUCAUGUUCUAUUCCUUCCAUGUUCAACCGGAGUGCUGCCCGAAUUCUUCCUCUCUCAUCUUGUUUUAACCGGAGUGGUUUCGAAUUCUAUCUUGUCCAUUAAACUCUUGAUUCAUGUCUUUGCAACCUUCAAGUUCUCGUAAUGUUCCUUGUUCCUCUUUUCCAACGGAUUGUUUGCAAUCUCAUUCAUCUCUGUUGUACUCUUUCUUUUUAAUUGCUCAACCUCUCAAGGUUUGUCGUUUCACUCGUUCGUCAAAGAAGCAACUUAGUUUUACCUCUUCUCUUCCUCUUCCGUUUCUCUCCGGUGCCAUCCUAGAUCUCGGGACGAGAUCCUCUCGUAGUGGUGGAGUGUUGUAACGGCCCGGAUACAACUUUCCAUAUUCGUAACUCCAACUCUUGUCAUUUCCGGCUAUGUGAUAUGUUAUUUCCUCCAUGGUUGGGUUUUUGUCGGUUGUUUUGCAUUUUGUUCUUGUCAUGCAUCUCGUCUCAUGUCAUCAUUCGCAUUGCAUCGGCAUCGUUUUCAUAAAACUUGCAUUCGCUUGUAGUUCCCGCUUCUUCCUUUUCCCUGUUGACCCCUCUCAGAUCAACCGGACCACUCUCUUCUCUCUCUUUUCUGAGCCCAUCAAAACCCUUUGUCUCCAUGGUGUUUCGUCAAACCCCUCUUGCACACGAUCGCCUUGCAUCUCUAGACAACCAUGACACUUCUUGCCGUGUCCGAAAUUUACCCGGACCCGACCCGGGCUGUCAUGAUCGAUGAGUCCGGAUCAUCCCCAAACAUCUAUAAAUCAUCUCCGUUUUCUUAUUUGGACUCCCUAGCCUAUUUAUUCCGGGCCGUCCGAUUACGAUCGGAGGGACCAAAUAGUCUCUGACCAAAUCCACCUGCUAUUUAUACACGGGAUCCAACCCUAGAAAUUAGGCAGCUUCGCCGCCACACCUCUUGUCUCCCCUUCCUCGGGAUCUCCUCCCGAUCCAAUCUCCCCGACCACCUUCCUUGUUUUCUGUUGACGCCCAAUCCGAGCCUCUGCCAUCCAAUGCCCGAAGGAGCAAGGCCCCUCGUGCCCGAUCUCCCUCACCUCCUCCGUCCCGCGAGCAGCAGCAACAGGACCAUGGCCGUCACCCCGCUUCUUCGAGACCAGCCACCGCUGAUCUGCAUCCAUGCCGCCUCCCGCCGUCGGCCGCAAGCCAGGAGCCCGAGCUCCUCCUUCCCGAGCUACAGGACCCCGCAGCCGUUCUACCUCGUCGGACCCCUCGCGCAGACCAGCGCCACCAGGCCGUGCCCUGCUUCCUUCCUCCCCGUGCCGCUCUCUCGAAAUCUCUCAUCUCUCUCGCCUCACUCUCUCUGUUCCUCUUCUUCAGGUACCUCAUCCACCAGGCCAGAAGCCUGAGCUCCUUCUCGCACGUUCGUCCCCUGCCUCGAUCGGGACCUUGUCCCAAGCCAUCGUCACCGUGCUUCUCGCGUCGCCCGACCUGGAGGAGUCGCCGCGUUGACCACGGUCCCGCGGUGACUGUCCUCUGCGUCCCGCGCCGCCACUCCUGCUUCAUUCCGGCGAGGCUCCGCCCGGAUCCGUUCGCCGGCCGCAGCCAUCGGUACCUGCAUCCCCUGCUUUGUGAACGAGGAGACCAGCGCUGCGCCUUUGUUGACCUAUUCCACUGCCAGCAUGGACGAGACCACGUCGCUCGCGUGGGCCUCGAUCCCAAGCCGGCCUUGCCCAGCGGCCUCGCUCGGCUUGCCUCCACCGAACCGGGCCUUGGCCCAGGGUGAGCAGCCCCGCCCCCUCUCCUGUGCACUUUCGGGCCAGCCAGAUUCGGCCCAGCUCCUGUUUUUUUUCCUUCUGCGAAUUUAGCAUUUAUCCAGUGAUUUAACAGAUUUGCAGAAACCCCCUUGAACUUCAUGCAUAUAAUAACUCAUGAUCUGUGCAUCAUAUGUAAAAACUUUAUAUAUGUAAAGUGCUUAGAAUUUCAUGUAGUUUCAUAAUAUGCUGUUUUCAUCCAUGAUAAAAAUGCUUAACCCUGCUGUUUGCAUUAAUUUGCAUAAAUAACAUGCUAAAAUGAUUUAUUUCAUAACUAAAUAACCGUAGCUCCAAUUUUAAUAAACUUUAUAUGUAAAUGGGGUGGGAAAAUGCCUAGUUUAACAUGGUGCACUUUAUUUUCCUGUUUAAAAACAAUAAAAUAUGGUUUAGGGCAGAACAGUACCAAAUUCAUAAUUUGCAUAUGGGGAUUCUCCGGAAUUGUUGUUUGUUGUUUCCUGCCUCAUUUAAACUUGCCUAGAUAGGUAGUUUAAUUAUGCUUCACCUCUUGCCAUGUUUAACAACAUUUAAUAUUGCUUGGUAGCUUAAACGAGAUUAAACUAAAUAUGUCAAUGUGGUGUUUUGUCAAUAUGCAACUCGUUGCAUAUUGAGCUCCACUUAGCUUGUAGUAUUGUUUGUUGCACUUUGCCAUGCCAUGCCUCAUUAAACCGGACAUGCAUCAUGCUUGAUUGUGCAUCAUGCCAUGUCUUGUGAUGGUUGUUUACCAUAUUGUUUGCUUCUUUCCGGGUUGCUUCUCUCGUUAGCUUCAGUUUCGUUCGGGAGUUGUGAGGAUUCGUUCGACUAUGUUGGUUCGUCUACUUCAUCGACUCGUUCUUCUUCCUAGCAGGAUUUCAGGCAAGAUGACCGCUACCCUGGAUCUCACUACUAUCAUUGCUAUGCUAUUUGUUUCGUUCUAUCGCUUUGCCGCGCUACCUAUCUCUUGUUGAUCAAGCCUCCCAAUUUGCCAUGUCAGCCUCUAACCUUUUUCACCCUUCCUAGCAAACCGUUGCUUGGCUAUGUUACCGCUUUUGCUCAGCCCCUCUUAUAGCGUUAUUAGUUGCAGGUGAAGUUGAAGAUUGCUCCAUGGUGGACAGGAUUAUGUUGGGAUAUCACAAUAUCUCUUAUUUAAUUAAUGCAUCUAUAUACUUGGUAAAGGGUGGAAGGCUCGGCCUUAUGCCUGGUGUUUUGUUCCACUCUUGCCGCCCUAGUUUCCGUCAUAUCGGUAUUAUGUUCCUGGAUUUUGCGUUCCUUACGCGGUUGGGUGAUUUAUGGGACCCCCUUGACAGUUCGCUUUGAAUAAAACUCCUCCAGCAAGGCCCAACCUUGGUUUUACCAUUUGCUUCACCACCACCUAUACCUUUCCCUUGGGUCGGCCAACCCGAGGGUCAUCUUUAUUUUAGCCCCCCCCCCGGGCCAGUGCUUGUCUAAGUGUUGGUCCGAACCGAGCAACCUGCAGGGCCACCUCGGGGCAACUUGAGGGUUGGUUUUACUCGUAGCUUGACUUAUCCGGUGUUGCCCUGAGAACGAGAUAUGUGCAGCUCCUAUCGGGAUUGUCGGCGCAUCGGGUGGCUUUGCUGGUCUUGUUUUACCAUUGUCAAAAUGUCUUGUAAACUAGGAUUCCGAGACUGAUCGGGUCUUCCCGGGAGAAGGAAUAUCCUUCGUUGACCGUGAGAGCUUAUAAUGGGCUAAGUUGGGACACCCCUGCAGGGUAUAAACUUUCGAGAGCCGUGCCCACGGUUAUGUGGCAGAUGGGAAUUUGUUAAUGUUCGGUUGUAGAUAACUUGACACCAGAUACGAAUUAAAAUGCAUCAACCGCGUGUGUAGCCGUGAUGGUCUCUUCUCGGCGGAGUCCAGGAAGUGAACACGGUUUUGGGUUAUGUUUGACGUAAGUAUGAGUUCAGGAUCACUUCUUGAUCAUUGCUAGCUUCACGACCGUUCCGUUGCUUCUCUUCUCGCUCUUGUUUGCGUAUGUUAGCCACCAUAUAUGCUUAGUCGCUGCUGCAACCUCACCACUUUACCCCUUCCUUUCCCAUUAAGCUUUGCUAGUCUUGAUACCCAUGGUAAUGGGAUUGCUGAGUCCUCGUGGUCACAGAUUACUACAACAACAGUUGCAGGUACAGGUUAUGCGAUGAUCAUGACGCGAGAGUGAUGUUUGCUUGUUUUGGAGUUCUUAUUCCGCUUCUUCUUCGAUCAGGGGAUAGGUUCCAGGUCGGCAGCCUGGGCUAGCAGGGUGGAUGUCAUUCGAGUUUCUAUUUGUGUUUCAUCCGUAGUCGGAUGAUGCUCUUAUGUAAGAUGAUGUUGUAUUCGUGUGGCAUUGUAUGCCUUAUGUAUGUAUCCCUAUCUAUUAUGUAAUGUUGAUGUAAUGAUAUCCACCUUGCAAAAGCGUCUUCAAGAUGCGCUUCUAUCCUUGGUGGGACCUUCGAGUUCCUUUAGGAUAGGGUCGCAUCUUGGGCNNNNNNNNNNNNNNNNNNNNNNNNNNNNNNNNNNNNNNNNNNNNNNNNNNNNNNNNNNNNNNNNNNNNNNNNNNNNNNNNNNNNNNNNNNNNNNNNNNNNNNNNNNNNNNNNNNNNNNNNNNNNNNNNNNNNNNNNNNNNNNNNNNNNNNNNNNNNNNNNNNNNNNNNNNNNNNNNNNNNNNNNNNNNNNNNNNNNNNNNNNNNNNNNNNNNNNNNNNNNNNNNNNNNNNNNNNNNNNNNNNNNNNNNNNNNNNNNNNNNNNNNNNNNNNNNNNNNNNNNNNNNNNNNNNNNNNNNNNNNNNNNNNNNNNNNNNNNNNNNNNNNNNNNNNNNNNNNNNNNNNNNNNNNNNNNNNNNNNNNNNNNNNNNNNNNNNNNNNNNNNNNNNNNNNNNNNNNNNNNNNNNNNNNNNNNNNNNNNNNNNNNNNNNNNNNNNNNNNNNNNNNNNNNNNNNNNNNNNNNNNNNNNNNNNNNNNNNNNNNNNNNNNNNNNNNNNNNNNNNNNNNNNNNNNNNNNNNNNNNNNNNNNNNNNNNNNNNNAGGGCUGGAUGAACAGGACCCCGUGGAGGGCUGUCUGAACAGGACGACCCCGUGGAGGGUUGGAUGAACAUUAGAUGGUGGAGGGGUGGAUGAACAGUAGCCCGUGGAGGGGUGGUUGAACAGGAGCCCCUGGAGAGGGGUGGUUGAACAGUAGCCGAUGGAGUAGCGCGCGGUGGAGGCUGGAUGAACAGGAGCCCGUGGAUGAACAGUCGCAGGUGAAGGCUGGAGGAGGUCAACGGUGGAUGAACAGUAGCCCGUGGAGGCUUGAGGAGGUCGAUGGUGGAGAUGAACACUAUCCCGUGGAGUCCCGUUUUGUGGUACACCACACCCCUCCCGAUGAACAGGACCCCCAUUUCGAUCGUGGUGCUCCAACACAAGUCCGUUUUGUCCGUUUUGCGGUACGCCACACCCCUCUCAAUCAACAGGACCCUGUUUCGACCGUAGGAGGUCCAACACAAGUCCGUUUCCUCUGUUUUGCGGUAUGCCAGACCCCUCCCGAUGAACAGGAUCCCAUUUCAAACGUGGCCGGUCGAACACAAGGUCAUUUCCUCCGUUCUGCAGUAUGCCAGGCCUCGUUUCCAUCGCAUGUUUCGUCCAAGCCCUCCCAAUGAACACGACGAUGCAUUCUGUUUGGACCUAGCCGGUUGGCUCCCCAUGAACACGACGACGAUGCUACUUCUCUGUUCCGACCCAUCCAUGUACACGAGCCCUGGCCGUACGUAUGCGCGAGUAGGCGUUCGAGACCCCACCCGUAUGUACGUACGUGGCCGUAUUUUCUUUCUUGCACCCUGGCCGUUGUACGUAUGUGUACAUGCUACGUGCGCGCCUCUACUACGACAUGUGCACGCCUCUACUACAACACAUGCGCGCCUCGACAUCGACCAGUAUAUGCGUACACGUUCGCGACCAAAAUGACAACGCUAUGUACGCUUCGACCAGGUGGGUCCCAACUGUCAGGCACUUCCUUGCGUGCGAAGAUGUAGAUGGUGGGUCCUAGCAGUCACGGGGGCGAAUCGUUUUUUUAUUUUUUGCCUGGACGCACUUCCUUGCGUGCGAAGAUGUAGCUGGUGGGUCCCAGCAGUCAGGGGGCGGAUUGUUUUUUUGUUGCCCGGGCGCACUUCCUUGCGUGCGAAGAUGUAGCUGGUGGGUCCCAGCAGUCAGGGGGCCAAUCAUUUUUUUUGUGAAAUACGGUGGCCCUACCGGUGGGUCCCCGCUGUCAGGUGGAGGAAUAAUUAUUUUGCGUGUAAUAAGGAGGCACUUCCUUGCGGCUGCCGUGGACCCAGCUAUCAGCCUCUCCACGUACAAUACUCUUCCGAUGGAAGUCGGUCGUUGACCACAUUGACCACGCCACGCCGAGAGCACCACGGCGGUGGACGAUGGUGAGGCCUAGGAAGGGGACGACACGGAGCCGGGGAAGACGUAGCAGUGGAUGCCCACGUGGAGAGGAGUACGAGGGUUCACUGGUUCGACUGUGGUGUGAGGCUGCCGUCGCCGCAGAAUAAUAGGGGGUGUGGGUGAGUAGAGGGAUGGCCUAGUCAGUGGUGGGAGUAGUAGGGGGGUGAGGCCUCCAUGGCAUCACAGCCGGCCACGGGAGGCAGGAGCAUGCGACACGACCGGCGCUGCUUUGGGCGGCUGGGGCAUGAAGACCAUAGGUUGAAGAAGCACUACGCCGUUGGAUGGACAUUGUACGGUCACUGGAGCUAGAAUCGUUCAUAUUGCCUAAGUUGACAAAGCCCUCUAUCCCCGUCAACUUAGUAGGCCCACAAGUCAGCCUCCCAUGAAGGUGAGUCCCAGCUAGCAGGGGGAAUAUUCAUUUUUUUGUGUGAAGGAGGCACUUCCGGUGGGUCCAAGAUGACAGCGGGGGGAACGUUUUUUCGCGAAAUACAGAGGCCCUUCCGGUGGGUCCCAGCUAUCUGGUGGAGGAAUCAUUAUUUUGCGCGUAAUGAGGAGGCAUUUCCCUGUGUGGGCCCCUAUUGUCGGCCUCUUUCGAUGGCUGUUGUUUGUUGACCAUGUUGACCUCGCCGCGCCGAGAGCACAAACGCGGUGGAUGAGGGUGAGGCCCAGGAAGAGAACCACCCGGAGCCGGCGAAGCUACCGCAGUGGAUGCCCACACUGAGGGGAGUACGGGCGCUGACUGGUCGACUGCGGGGUGAGGCUGACAUUGCCGGAAAAUAACAGGAUGUGUGGGUGGUUAGAGGGAUGGCCUGGCGGCAGCACAGCCAGCCACGAGAGGAGGGAGCAGGCAGUCCCGCCGGCGCUGGUUUGGGCGGCUGGAGCAGGAAGAUCAGAGAUUGAAGAAGCAUGGCGGCCAUUGGAUGGACAUCCAACGGUCACUUUUGUGUGUUAACUAAGUUGACAAAGCCUUUCGUAUGCGUCAAAAAAAAUUUAGGACAGUGUCAUCGUCAACCUAGUAGGCCCAGAAGUCAGCCUCCAAAUCUAUGGAAAACAGCAUACAGCCCUUUAGUUAUUAUUUUCAAUAAUUUACAGUCCAUUUGCUAAUUCUUAAGGACAUUUGAAGCCCAUAUUCUUUUUAUUAGCAUUACAAACCAUAUAUUCUGGGCACUGCUAAAAAAUUCAAUGAAAUUUUGCAUAUUUCGGUGGGGUCCGAACUCUUUUAAUCACGAAAUUUUGAGUCACGUUAAAAAUAAUUUUCAAAAAAUUAUAUCAAAAUAAAAUUCAAAAAACAAUUCUCCGCAAAAAAAUGAAUGAAAUUUAGAAUCUUAACUAGCAAGAUGCCCGUUCAUUGCACGGAACAUGAAGAUGCAUUUGUAUGAGUAGUUUAUCUUGUGGGAGAAAAGAUGAUAUUUUAAUGUAAUUGCCAGUUGGCUUUGGUUUUUAUAAGAGUGGAGAGUAGAGAAAUCCUAAAAAAAUGAUAUUUUAAUGCAAUUGCCGGUUGGCUUUGGUUUAAAAAUUUACAGCCCAUUUCUUACAACUUAUAGCCCAUUUUCUGGGGAAGCCCAUUUCUUACUACUUACAUCCCUCCUCGUCUUGAAAGAUUUGCAGCCCAGCAGGGCUGAGAAAAGCAACUAGGCCUCAGUUUUGGUAUUCUCCAAAAAAAGAACUAGGCUAGCCAAUUUCAGAAAGAAAAAAUAUAUCAAUUGGGCUCGUCAUGUGCUUAAUAAAAGCAUAAUCAUGGGCUAGACGGGCCACAGCCCCCGCACAGCGCGCAGUUGAGCUCCGUCUCUGAAACUAAAAACAACUGGGCGAGCUACUGGGUUCCUGGUGUUAUCCGCUUGUUGUGUAAUUUUCUCGUUUAUUGACUACAUUGACAAUGGCAUGGGACCUAGUUGUCAAACAAUUAGGAGGAAAUAUAUAUUUUUGGCUUGUAAUAACGAGGCACCUGCUUGCGAAAUGCAAUGACCCUGGUGGGUCCCUACUGUCAGCCUCUCCAUGUAUAGUCAUCUCCUGAUUCCUCUUGGUUGUUGACCAUGUUGACAACGCCAGACGGCGGCGGGCACAGCGAACGAACCAAGGCGGAGAACGGCGGCGAGGCCUCGGACGGGAAUGAACAGCAGUCAUGGAAGAUGUGGCAGUGUAGUGGCAGGUGGAGGGGAGUACGAGGUUAACAACAUGCAACUCAAGCAUACAAAUGGUACAAAAAGCCCAAGGAUUAACUGUUCAUCAAAUUUUUAGACAAAACCCAGAUUGAACAUGACAGUAACAUCUAACAGAACCACUCUUUUUUGCAGUCACAAACAAAUGGAUCGGUCUGAUCCAUAAAAUCAACAUCCUGUGCAAAAAACUUUAUUUCAGGAUGACUACAACUUGUUGUAAAUAGAAACCGAGCACGUUUAGAAGCCCAUUUGUCCACCUGAAACUUCUUUUUUCGCUGUUCAACAUGUCCGUCCAUGAGAAAUCUCUUGCGGUAAAAAUUAUGCCUCAUGGACAAUAGUAACCCCACAUUCAACACGAAGAAUGUGACAGAGCUUCUGUUUGCCUGGUUGGAUGCAUAUCGUUCCAUCAUUAUUGUCCUCAAACGAAUGUCAUGAGAACUGAGAAAAUCCUUGUGCUUAUUACGCCACUGAUUGGUUAUAUGUUUUUCUCCAUGUGAUUCUGCCUAAGUAGACAUGAAGAUUGAAAACAGUUAAGGUCUGAAAAAGAGUAUGUCAAAAGAACGACAACUGAAUAGUUAAUUCUAGUACAAUAUAUACGGGCUUUCAAUGUGCAUGAAAUCAUCACCUCUAUGUAUAAAUUCUCCAGAGAUCGAAAGCAUCGCAGCAAGCCAAUAAUUAUGUUCAGAUCAAAACUAUACAUUCUGAUAUAUAUGAUCUUGACAGAAUCCAGCAGCAUUGAUAGGCUAUCAAUGGAUGAAUUCUCCAUUGAGCAUAUAACAUAAUAUUAGUACCCAAAGUGUACUCCAAGAUGAUAUAAAACUUAUGCGCACAAAUGAAAAAUGCAGCAUAUGAUUACAAAUGUGUAGAUGAUAAUAUACGGUACCUGAAAAGUGAGGAUCCAAACACCAACUCCUUGUGAUUAUUAAACGGGUCACGAAUUACACCCAAGGUCUCCAGUUUGGGCGCAGAGACGACAGUUAUUUGUGAAGGUGUAUAACAAUUAUCAAGGAGCAACCUUUCAAGUGAAGGGGCAUCUUCGUUGAUGAGCUGCUGUCCUUGAAAACAAAUUCCAAUGCUUUUAAGGUGAGGCGACUUUAUUUGGAGACAACUGAUACGGAUUUCUAUUCCCAAAACAAGCAUCAAGCGCUCCAGGGUAGGGCAACUGGAUUGGAUGAUGCUGUGCAGUGAGGCCUCCGACAGAUAAACCACCACAAGCGAAAGUUUUUUAGCAGUGGGAGUCGAAGCAUUUGUACCAGAUCGUCUGGUAGAUGGCAUCGGGCGAAGGUGGCGGUGUGGAGUGAUGACCCACAAGUAUAGGGGAUCUAUCGUAGUCCUUUCGAUAAGUAAGAGUGUCGAACCCAACGAGGAGCAGAAGGAAAUGACAAGCGGUUUUCAGUAAGGUUUUCUCUGCAAGCACUGAAAUUGUAGGUAACAGAUAGUUUUGUGAUGAGAUAAAUUGUAACGAGUAACAAGCAAUGAAAGUAAAUAAAGUGCAGCAAGGUGGCCCAAUCCUUUUUGUAGCAAAGGACAAGCCUGGACAAUUUCUUAUAAUGAGAAAAGAGCUCCCGAGGACACAUGGGAAUUAUCGUCAAGCUAGUUUUCAUCACGCUCAUAUGAUUCGCGUUCGGUACUUUGAUAAUUUGAUAUGUGGGUGGACCGGUGCUUGGGUACUGCCCUUACUUGGACAAGCAUCCCACUUAUGAUUAACCCCUAUUGCAAGCAUCCGCAACUACAGAAGAAGUAUUAAGGUAAACCUAACCACAACAUUAGACAUAUGGAUCCAAAUCAGCCCCUUAUGAAGCAAUGCAUAAACUAGGGUUUAAGCUUCUGCCACUCUAGCAACCCAUCAUCUACUUAUUGCUUCCCAAUGCCUUCCUCUAGGCCCAAAUAAUGUUGAAGUGUCAUGUAGUCGACGUUCACAUAACACCACUAGAGGAAAGACAACAUACAUCUCAUAAAAUGUCAGGACCCCGACUCAAUGCCACAUCGAUCUAGCAUGUAACACCUCAUAUCACUUUGCGGCCUCACGCACGGUAUUCCCACAGGUGUCGCCUUACCUUUGCCCGGGACCGUUUGCGCCUUUUGGCACACGUAUAUGACAGUGUCGCUAGCAUCCAUAUGAUAAGGAGCCCGGGCUGACAUGGCUAGUCGUAAACCCAAAGUGGCACAGACUUACAGGGACAGGCAUCCAUGACCCAGCAUCGAACGUGCCAGUCAUCAGCGAGUGGAUCCAGGCUGUAGCACUGGGCUAGCAGGACUCCGAUGAACCGGGCUGUAGUGGGCUAACAGGACUCCGGUAUUCAUCGCAUGACAUUUCCCCGAAGGGACAGACACAGGAACGAAGAAGGACACAUGCCGGCCAGCCUAAGUGUUCCGGAGCAGUAGCAAGCUAUCAUGGCUCAGUGAAACACUAGGAGACAUUUCCCCAUAAGAGAGGCUACUAAAGACAAACAACUAGAUGGUUAGAUCCCACACAUACCAAGCAUUUCAAUAACAUACACACAAUAUGCUCGAUAUGUGCAAAUACAACAUGGCAUCACAACACGACUCUAUGACUCAAGUAAUUUAUUCAUUAGGCUCCGAGGAGCGAGAUAUUACAAACAGGGGUCUCACGACCCAACAUUCAGAGCAUACAAGUCAAAGCACAAGCGGAAGCUAUCAUGUCUGAGUACAGACAUCUAGAAAUGAAAAAGGCUGAGAAGCCUGACUAUCUACCAGAUCCUGCCGAGGCACAAGAUCGUAGCUGAGGUAACAAGCUAAACGUCGAAGUCCACGCGAAACUACUAGUGAGACCGAAGUCUCUCUGCAAAAACAUAAAAUAGGCAAACGUGAGUACAAAUGUACCCAGCAAGACUUACAUCAGAACUAACUACAUAUGCAUCAUUAUCAACAAAGGGGAUGGUGGGGUUUAACUGCAGCAAGCCAGCUUUGACUCGGUGGCUAUCCUGAACUACGACUGCAAUGUAACUCUUUGAGGUGGCGCACACGAGUCCACAUAUUCACCAUAUCAAUACACCACUAUGGAUCCGCUCCCGUCUCCCUACGAGAACGCCAUCCAUAGCACUCACGCUUAUCUUGCGUAUUUUAGGGUAUCCACUUUCACUUGUCUAUGAACUGAUAUAAGCAACCCAGAAGUCCUUUACCGCGGACACGGCUAUUCGAAUAGAUGAUGUUAACCCUGCAGGGGUGUACUUCUUCAUACAUGUUUCCACCACUUAGCGUCUGCACACGACAUGUGCUCGGCAGACUUCAAGCGAAAGCCGACGUGGGUGUAGACCACGACCUACCUAAACACUCAAGUCUCUAGUCCAGGUUUAUCGCCUAUUCGGGUUCCAUCCAUGAGGAGAUCCGGCCGGAGUUUCGCUCACAACCCCAAACGAUGUGAACAGGGUUCCCGAGAUACCAAACGGGCAUCCGAUACACCGUGCCACAUACCUACCGCAUCACAGCCCACCCCUACGGUCAGCGCUGUCCACGGCCUCCAGUAAGCUACAAACACCAGAAACUACUUGCAACUCCUGGACAGAGGACUAGGGUGAAUAAGAAGUCGAGCGGGGUCAUAUUUCAGGGCCCAAUGUAUGGUAGUAGCUGAAUCAUGGAUCACAAACACAGAACUCAGUUCCUGAGGAUGGCUGCAAUGAGACAACCCACCAUGUACUCCUACAUGGCCUCUCACCGCUACCUUUACCAAAUCGUGUUCACACACUUAGCUCACACACGGUAGGACAUGUUCACACGCCUCUGAUUCAUCCCUGAUGAAUCAGACCUGACUCAACUCUAAGCAGUAGCAGGCAUGACAAGCAAGCAUGAAUGAGUAGGCGCAACAGGGCUCAAACAACUCCUACUCAUGCUAGUGGGUUUCAUCUAUUUACUGUGGCAAUGACAGGUCAUGCAAAGGAUAAAGGGGUUCAGCUACCGCAGCAAGUAACAGAUGAAUCGUUUUUGUCCUAAUGCAGUAAAAGAGAGCAGGAGCGAGAGAGUGGGGUUUUAUCGGAAUGAACAAGGGGGUUUUGCUUGCCUGGCACUUCUGAAGAUAACAUUGAGUCUUCAUCAGUGUCAACGAUCACAUCAUCGGUAUCACAUCUAUCGAGAGGGGACAAAUACCGGCAACACAGAAGGGAACACAAUCAAUGCAAUGCACAAUAUGAUGCAUGAUCAUGACAUGGCAAAAUGAAUGUGUUUUGGGCUAAUGCAACUAGCAACAGAUUAAAUGAAGUUGGUUUGAAUACAAGAUUCAAAUUCAAACUCCAUAUAUGAUUAUUUAAAUGCCCUUUAAUUGAUUUGUGCUAAACAGCAGCUAUAAGUUGUUCUAACAUGCAUGAAAGUGGUACAGAUGGAUUCCUUGAAUUUUUCUGAUAAUUUUUCAUAUAUAAUUUAUUUAAUUUGGAGUUACGGUUGAAUUUCUAUGAAUUUUAGAAGUUUUAGGCAUUUUCUGAAAUUCCUGAAUAAUAAUAAAUCCAGAAAUGAAUUUACUGCGUCAGCACUGCGUCAUAGUGACGUCAGUAGGGUCAACUGGGCUGGCUCGGGUCAAACCUGACGUGUGGGGCCCAUACGUCAGUGUCUCAGUGCCAGUUAGGGUCACUGACAUGUGGACCCAGUCAAUGGCCACGUCAGCAUGGUCAACGCUGAUGCGUGGGGCCACUAGGAUUAGUUAAAAACUAAAUAGAAACUAAUCUAUGAUUAAUUAGCAGGUGGGGCCCUGCUGUCAGUGUCACUAGGUGUUGACUAAGUGCGUCAUUAGCCCGAAUUAAUCCGCCACGUCACCCUCGCCGGAGUUACGCCGGCGGCGACCAAAACGACGGCGGAGCGUUUCGGAAAAACGCUACGGGGCUCCAUUUUGAGCGCGGUUUGUUGCUACGGCUUGCUGGCGUUCUUGCGCAUCUAGUGGUAGCAGCGACAGCAGCUGGGAUGGCCUGAGUCGAUGGCGACGAGCACUUCCGCGGCGGCCGAAGUUCGGGCACCCGCGGGUUUGGCGUUGCGGUGCGCAGGAGGGGGAGCUGGUUGGUGUGUUGGGCUCCUGGGGGCUUUAUGAGCACGGUGAAGCACUCCGUCGUGGGCAUGCGCGGCUAUGGCCACGGCUGCGCCAUGGCCGGCGGCGAGAAGCUCUCGGCCGCGACGGGCAUCGGUGUUAGAGGAAGAAAACGGGCCAGGGAAGAGGGGGAAACAGCACAGGAGCUCACAGCGGGUGCAGCGGUGGCCUCGGCGAGCUCGGGGAGGGGCUGGAGCUCGCGAAUCCUCGAAAGUUCGCCGGCGGCCGAAGGUUGGGGGCGAGCUUGAGGGCGACGCUGCAGGGCUUCCGGAGGGCCGUGGAUCGGUGGGGAGGAAGAGGGGGUCGGGGCGGAGCUUCCUGGGGCGUCGGUGAGGCGUGGGGUGGCCGGUAGCCACGGUGGCUCUCGUCGGUGGCGGCGGCUCCGUUCGGGUGAGGAGAACAGAGGAGGGGGAGAGUGUUCCGGGGAGAGGACGAGGACGCGGGAGAGUGAGGAAGAGAGGCAGGGAGGUGCGUGGCGUCGCGGACGGGGUCCAGGGCGACGAGAGGAAGCAGGAGGUGGCCAGGGGGAAGCAGGAGGUGGCCGAGGCCUCUCGGGCGCGCCACGCCUCGCCUCUGUUCGUCCUCCUGGCAGAGGAGGAAGAGGACAAGGGGGAGGAGGUGGGCUGGGUCGGCCAGAUGGAGCUGGGCCAGGUAAGUGGCGCCAGGUAAGUGGCGCCAGGUAAGUGGCCCAGGUGGCCUUCUCUCCCUUUCUAUUUAUUUCUGUUCUGUUUUUCUUUUAUUUAAUUCUUUUGCCACUGUUUUGAAUUAAAAAUAAUAAUUCAAACAAUGCCAAAGCUCCUCUGAAUAUUUUAUUUUGCUAGAUGGACCUUUCCAAAAGCUCAUAAAAUAAUUCAGGGAUAUUUGAAAUUAUAUUCUAAUUAUAUGAAUAUAAUUCAAAUUCAAAUAGCUAAUGAAUUAAAUUCAAAGUCCCAAAAAUAAAUCCUUAAAAAUGUUCAAUAUUUUGGUUGGGACCAGAACCCUUGCCAAAAAUUAUCAAACAUUUAAGAAGAGCAUUUUGGAACAAUGAAUGAGAUUUUUAGGGUUUCUGCCCUUCUUUUAUUUAGGGUUUUGAGGCUUCCAAUUUCCCUCAGUUCAAAUUUCAGAAUUUAAACAUGAUGCACACAUGAAGCUAGCCUAGAGCACUACCAGCAGCUAGGGAUGUGACAACUCACCCCCACUAAACAAGAAUCUCGUCUCGAGAUUCAAGCGUAGGGUAGGAUGAAGGGGAAACGCAACUAGUAUAAUCUUCACGAUCCAGGUUGCACUUCAAAUGAACAUUGAUUUGAACACCAUCUUUGUCUUGUCGUCUUGCUCUGAGAACUCCAGCUAAUCAUGACAAGAAGAGGAAAGGAAAACUCUAGAAGGAUCGGUCUUCUCGAAGAUCGAACAACUCAGAAUUAACUCACGGAAUGUGACAUAGCAACAUCUCUCGAGCUGAGAGAUGAAGCAUACCUCUAGAGGGAUGGAGUGGAGCAGGUGACGAGGUUCACUAGGUAGACAACAAUUCCAGACUUAAGAAUGUGGUGAUCGGUUGUCAACAUAGCGAGGAGUUGAAUUGCCAUGAUACCAUAACGAUGCACCUUAGGGAAGGUGACUCGUAGAAAUAUCCCCUUAAGUGGCAAAAAGAAUUACCUUUGAUUCAAAGAUCAUUGAAACUCUUUAAACCAGCCUAAGGCAAUUCUCGAGCGAUCGUUUGGAGGGGGGUCGGUAGAAUGGCAUACUCGGACUUGGAUGAUGUGGAUUACCUUGUUGAAGACAACGCAAUGGAUAAUUUGCUUGUCACCGGAAAUGGAAGAGACCCGUGGUAGAAUGGCACAUUGGCGGUGCAAGCUGGGAAUAAAAUGCAAAUGCUGGGAAUGAUUCUAGUAACUGGGGAAGAACCCAACAAUAGAGAGUGAAUUCUCUGUUUGAGAAGGUCAUAGCAUUGCCGAGGAAACUGAGAGCAAACCCAGUUAGUGUCGAUGAUAACACCUAGCGCUUGUGCGUGCUCUCAAGAACUUGAGCAUUUCCAUAAUCAUCAAGAUUUUAUCAACAUCCGUGUCAAGGGUGCUGACAACACAACAUACUACCAUGAUGAAUAGCGAUGGACGAUGCAGAUGCAAAGGAGGAUAACACUUUCUCAGAUUUCACCUUAGCGAGGCCAAGGGAACGAAAUCUGGAUGAUCGACCGAGAGACAUUUAGCACUCCGCUUCUAAUGUUCUCCUUGAUGUGCUAGUGUAACCCAUUCAUAGAUAUGGUUUGAUAACUAGAACAUCAAGUAAAAGGUCGGACUUCGGGAGCAAUAGAAUCCAUAAGGAACAGUUACGGAGGUAAAUCCUACGAAAUCCUUAUGGGGAGGUGGCCAACUUCUUCAAUCAAGAUACUACAAUAAUAGGUCUUUCGGCUGGGUGGUGCUGGCCACGACAUCCACUUUACCAGUUAUCGAGGAACCAAUAUUAUAGUUCUUGGGGAAAUGUUCCAACCAUCAUAUCUGCCUGAGAUUCAGAUCUGGUUGGUGUCAGGAUAUUUCAGACUCAUCGAGUCUAGGAAGAAGAAUGAAGGUUUGCAACACAAAUCGACGAGAUGACGUUGCGGGAUUCUCGGGAGAUGAACUACGAUAGCAAGCUCCAAAACAUGAGCUGGUUCUGCUACAAACAUGUGAACACGUUGUCCCAGACAAGCAUGCCCGCAUGGUAGUCUUACAAUAAAACACUACCGAGUUCAGGAGGGGGAACCAUCAACGAGGGUAUCGAAGUUCUUUCAUAAGUCCGGAUUAGCUCUUAUGAAGAUACUCCUUCUCCUUGAACAAAUCAAUCAGUGGCUUGGUGUGCUAGGGAUACAUAUAGAUUGAAGGUUGCAAGUCUUCAAACCACAGCAUUCUUCGCACGUGUGCAUGACUGAUUUGGAAUGAUUCCAAAGAAAGCAACAUUGACUUUCUCGAAUCCACGGCGGCAACUUGCAUCAGAUGCACAUGAAUUAAAGGAAGUCACUACCUUCAUCCAAACAUAUGCUUCAUGAGCUAGCAUGAACAAAUGCUUUCAAAAGUUUCCAACACUAGCUUAAUGUUCAACAAAAUCAUGGAGGAGAUAAGGAUGUUGUCAAUGGGCUCAACAACAAUUCAUCUAGGUUUCCUUUUAAAAGGAAUUCCAUAGUUAAGUGAACACGGUGAUAGCAUUGGUCAGACCAAAGAUGUAAUGGUGUAUGCUCGAGGGAUCAACCACGAAUAAGACAACAUUACGAGCAUCGUUGGUACUGAUUUGAUUUGACGGUAGCCCACACUCAAAUCAAAGGAUUGACAAGACAAUAGGUCCAGCAACUGAUCACAGGGACCAAUCAAUGAAGAUAUCAUCUUUCCUCAACACACACUACACAAGAAUAUCCCUUUGGAACGAACUAAGUUAGGCAAGCUUUUAUCUUCCAAUUCUCCAAGUUGUUGUUUAGCUUAUCCAACUAGCUCAGGGUAUCCAACACGGAUUCUUGGAGAAGGGGUGGUUUACAGUAAUAAACCAACUUGAUCACGAACUCAACAUAGCGGUCAGGUGACAACCUGGUAAUACUUCUGAGAAGAUAUUCAGAAAAUCACGAACCAUCGGUAUGUUACUAAGCUCAAGAACAAUCUCGCUUUUGAGGGCAAGACGAUAUGAUCAAAUGAGUGAGGACUUGACAAGAUCCUAACUCAUCAAUCGAAGGGUGCACCGAAAUAAGGACUAGGUAGCACGAUCAGUCUUAGAAGGAUGAUUCAAAAACCAACAUGCUAAGAAUGAAAUUAUUAUCCUUUAACUACCAAGCAACGAGGUUGCUGGGAGUAUUGAUUUCACACAUCACAAUUCAUUUGUCGGUAUUCCGGUUGCAUCAACACGAGGGCCGAGGAAUGACUAAUGAUGGUGAGAAGUAUCACUACGUCAAAAUUCAUGAGAGUUGGUGCAGUUCUCAUGACAAUUCUGACAUAAAGGGGGUAAUACUCCAAGGUAGAACAGAACCAAAAGCUGGAUUGGCAUUUGAUCUGCGGAAUACAACUACUUUGACCCAAUCCUAGAUAUGGACGAGGUACUGGAGUUUGUUUCUCCAAGUCAUUCAGGACAGAAUGGCUUGACGGACCACAAGGGUAAUAGGCAUCGAUAAACGAAUGCAUGCAUACCCUUGAUAUCAAUUGAUAGACGAAGGUCAGUAGACAACUAAAGAGGGACAACUCAAAGGAACAUAUAAUUUUCUGAGUUGUGGAUGCAUAGAUUAGUAUGUCGAGCGAGAUCAACAUUUCUUCCAGAUAACCCAUGCAGAGAGGUAGGACUGGCAGAGUCACGAUUUAUGAAUGGAGAUCUCCUCAAGAGUACUCUAAUUGUGAUCUUUUGAUCCAAUAAACAUCUGCCAUAAGCGGUUCAUAGUAUUUGAAAGAAGGAAAUACCACGGACCUCGAGGACUAUCGCAAAGUUUCUAAUAUCCUGAAGGAACUAGCAAACACUAUCAACAUGAAGUAAGUAGAGUGAAUCUCGGGUUCAAAACCCAGAAAUAGAAUGCCUACUAACUAAUAACAUCACGGGAUGCUUUCGAGAAUGAUGGCCAGAAUCAUCACACUGGGAACACAAAUCAUGGCUAAAUUACUAGAUGAUCCCCUAAGACACCUAGGGUCAUAAUAAUAUCUCCAACAUAUAUGUCAAGGUAACGGAGUACCUCAACUCACUGAUUAGUGUGGUUAAUCUGGCCCAUGGGAACAUUGAAAUGGAAAGAAAGGAUUUGCAAAUGCAUCAGACUACUUAGAAACCUGGAAUGACUCGGACAGCAUAACGGCUGUAAAUGCUCAGAAAAGAUUUGAGACAUUCACAAAAAUGGUGGCAUAACCACUCAGAAGCACAAUAUCACGGUUUCGAGAUCAACAAUUAACAUACGGAAGCAGUAAAAACUGAAUAGAGGCUUAAGUCCAAAAAUCUUAUAAGUCUACGGAUUAGUAACACGUGAUCCUGAUAGUAAGAAGAGAUAGCCUAGUUCUUAAUCCCCGUAGGAAAGAUAAGAUGACUCAGAUCAGAAGGGCAUAAAGUAUAAGGAGUAAAAAGAGCCUUACGUUCCAUCCCACAAUCAAUUCCCUUAUAUAACUAAAGAAUUUCUAGACUCAACUUCGACCAGUUUGGCUUGGUAAUCCUACAGGCAGUCAAGCUCUGAUACCAAUGCUGUCAGGACCCCGACUCAAUGCCACAUCGAUCUAGCAUGUAACACCUCAUAUCACUUUGCGGCCUCACGCACGGUAUUCCCAUGGGUGUCGCCUUACCUUUGCCUGGGACCGUUUGCGCCUUUUGGCACACGUAUAUGACAGUGUCGCUAGCAUCCAUAUGAUAAGGAGCCCGGGCUGACAUGGCUAAUCGUAAACCCAAAGUGGCACAGACUUACAGGGACAGGCAUCCAUGACCCAGCAUCGAACGUGUCGGUCAUCAGCGAGUGGAUCCAGGCUGUAGCACUGGGCUAGCAGGACUCCGGUGAACCGGGCUGUAGCGGGCUAACAGGACUCCGGUAUUCAUCGCGUGACAUUUCCCCGAAGGGACAGACACAAGAACGAAGAAGGACACAUGCCGGCCAGCCUAAGUGUUCCGGAGCAGUAGCAAGCUAUCAUGGCUCAGUGAAACACUAGGAGACAUUUCCCCGUAAGAGAGGCUACUAAAGAUAAACAACUAGAUGGUCAGAUCCCACACAUACCAAGCAUUUCAAUAACAUACACACAAUAUGCUCGAUAUGUGCAAAUACAACAUGGCAUCACAACACGACUCUAUGACUCAAGUAAUUUAUUCAUUAGGCUCCGAGGAGCGAGAUAUUACAAACAGGGGUCUCACGACCCAACAUUCAGAGCAUACAAGUCAAAGCACAAGCGGAAGCUAUCAUGUCUGAGUACAGACAUCUAGAAAUGAAAAAGGCUGAGAAGCCUGACUAUCUACCAGAUCCUGCCGAGGCACAAGAUCGUAGCUGAGGUAACAAGCUAAACGUCGAAGUCCACGCGAAACUACUAGUGAGACCGAAGUCUCUCUGCAAAAACAUAAAAUAGGCAAACGUGAGUACAAAUGUACCCAGCAAGACUUACAUCAGAACUAACUACAUAUGCAUCAUUAUCAACAAAGGGGAUGGUGGGGUUUAACUACAGCAAGCCAGCUUUGACUCGGUGGCUAUCCUGAACUACGACUGCAAUGUAACUCUUUGAGGUGGCGCACACGAGUCCACAUAUUCACCAUAUCAAUACACCACUAUGGAUCCGCUCCGGUCUCCCUACGAGAACGCCAUCCAUAGCACUCACGCUUAUCUUGCGUAUUUUAGGGUAUCCACUUUCACUUGUCUAUGAACUGAUAUAAGCAACCCAGAAGUCCUUUACCGCGGACACGGCUAUUCGAAUAGAUGAUGUUAACCCUGCAGGGGUGUACUUCUUCAUACAUGUUUCCACCAUUUAGCGUCUGCACACGACAUGUGCUCGGCAGACUUCAAGCGAAAGCCGACGUGGGUGUAGACCACGACCUACCUAAACACUCAAGUCUCUAGUCCAGGUUUAUCGCCUAUUCGGGUUCCAUCCAUGAGGAGAUCCGGCCAGAGUUUCGCUCACAGCCCCAAACGAUGUGAACAGGGUUCCCGAGAUACCAAACGGGCAUCCGGUACACCGUGCCACGUACCUACCGCAUCACAGCCCACCCCUACGGUCAGCGCUGUCCACGGCCUCCAGUAAGCUACAAACACCAGAAACUACUUGCAACUCCUGGACAGAGGACUAGGGUGAAUAAGAAGUCGAGCGGGGUCAUAUUUCAGGGCCCAAUGUAUGGUAGUAGCUGAAUCAUGGAUCACAAACACAGAACUCAGUUCCUGAGGACGGCUGCAAUGAGACAACCCACCAUGUACUCCUACAUGGCCUCUCACCGCUACCUUUACCAAAUCGUGUUCACACACUUAGCUCACACACGGUAGGACAUGUUCACACGCCUCUGAUUCAUCCCCGAUGAAUCAGACCUGACUCAACUCUAAGCAGUAGCAGGCAUGACAAGCAAGCAUGAAUGAGUAGGCGCAACAGGGCUCAAACAACUCCUACUCAUGCUAGUGGGUUUCAUCUAUUUACUGUGGCAAUGACAGGUCAUGCAAAGGAUAAAGGGGUUCAGCUACCGCAGCAAGUAACAGAUGAAUUGUUGUUGUCCUAAUGCAGUAAAAGAGAGCAGGAGCGAGAGAGUGGGGUUUUAUCGGAAUGAACAAGGGGGUUUUGCUUGCCUGGCACUUCUGAAGAUAACAUUGAGUCUUCAUCAGUGUCAACGAUCACAUCAUCGGUAUCACGUCUAUCGAGAGGGGACAAAUACCGACAACACAGAAGGGAACACAAUCAAUGCAAUGCACAAUAUGAUGCAUGAUCAUGACAUGGCAAAAUGAAUGUGUUUUGGGCUAAUGCAACUAGCAACAGAUUAAAUGAAGUUGGUUUGAAUACAAGAUUCAAAUUCAAACUCCAUAUAUGAUUAUUUAAAUGCCCUUUAAUUGAUUUGUGCUAAACAGCAGCUAUAAGUUGUUCUAACAUGCAUGAAAGUGGUACAGAUGGAUUCCUUGAAUUUUUCUGAUAAUUUUUCAUAUAUAAUUUAUUUAAUUUGGAGUUACGGUUGAAUUUCUAUGAAUUUUAGAAGUUUUAGGCAUUUUCUGAAAUUCCUGAAUAAUAAUAAAUCCAGAAAUGAAUUUACUGCGUCAGCACUGCGUCACAGUGACGUCAGCAGGGUCAACUGGGCUAGCUCGGGUCAAACCUGACGUGUGGGGCCCAUACGUCAGUGUCUCAGUGCCAGUUAGGGUCACUGACAUGUGGACCCAGUCAAUGGCCACGUCAGCAUGGUCAACGCUGAUGCGUGGGGCCACUAGGAUUAGUUAAAAACUAAACAGAAACUAAUCUAUGAUUAAUUAGCAGGUGGGGCCCUGCUGUCAGUGUCACUAGGUGUUGACUAAGUGCGUCAUUAGCCCGAAUUAAUCCGCCACGUCACCCUCGCCGGAGUUACGCCGGCGGCGACCAAAACGACGGCGGAGCGUUUCGGAAAAACGCUACGGGGCUCCAUUUUGAGCGCGGUUUGUUGCUACGGCUUGCUGGCGUUCUUGCGCAUCUAGUGGUAGCAGCGACAGCAGCUGGGAUGGCCUGAGUCGAUGGCGACGAGCACUUCCGCGGCGGCCGAAGUUCGGGCACCCGCGGGUUUGGCGUUGCGGUGCGCGGGAGGGGGAGCUGGUUGGUGUGUUGGGCUCCUGGGGGCUUUAUGAGCACGGUGAAGCACUCCGUCGUGGGCAUGCGCGGCUAGGCCACGGCUGCGCCAUGGCCGGCGGCGAGAAGCUCUCGGCCGCGACGGGCAUCGGUGUUAGAGGAAGAAAACGGGCCAGGGAAGAGGGGGAAACAGCACAGGAGCUCACAGCGGGUGCAGCGGUGGCCUCGGCGAGCUCGGGGAGGGGCUGGAGCUCGCGAAUCCUCGAAAGUUCGCCGGCGGCCGAAGGUUGGGGGCGAGCUUGAGGGCGACGCUGCAGGGCUUCCGGAGGGCCGUGGAUCGGUGGGGAGGAAGAGGGGGUCGGGGCGGAACUUCCUGGGGCGUCGGUGAGGCGUGGGGUGGCCGGUAGCCACGGUGGCUCUCGUCGGUGGCGGCGGCUCCGUUCGGGUGAGGAGAACAGAGGAGGGGGAGAGUGUUCCGGGGAGAGGAUGAGGACGCGGGAGAGUGAGGAAGAGAGGCAGGAGGUGCGUGGCGUCGCGGACGGGGUCCAGGGCGACGAGAGGAAGCAGGAGGUGGCCAGGGGGAAGCAGGAGGUGGCCGAGGCCUCUCGGGCGCGCGCCACGCCUCGCCUCUGUUCGUCCUCCUGGCAGAGGAGGAAGAGGACAAGGGGGAGGAGGUGGGCUGGGCCGGCCAGAUGGAGCUGGGCCAGGUAAGUGGCGCCAGGUAAGUGGCCCAGGUGGCCUUCUCUCCCUUUCUAUUUAUUUCUGUUCUGUUUUUCUUUUAUUUAAUUCUUUUGCCACUGUUUUGAAUUAAAAAUAAUAAUUCAAACAAUGCCAAAGCUCCUCUGAAUAUUUUAUUUUGCUAGAUGGACCUUUCCAAAAGCUCAUAAAAUAAUUCAGGGAUAUUUGAAAUUAUAUUCUAAUUAUAUGAAUAUAAUUCAAAUUCAAAUAGCUAAUGAAUUAAAUUCAAAGUCCCAAAAAUAAAUCCUUAAAAAUGUUCAAUAUUUUGGUUGGGACCAGAACCCUUGCCAAAAAUUAUCAAACAUUUAAGAAGAGCAUUUUGGAACAAUGAAUGAGAUUUUUAGGGUUUCUGCCCUUCUUUUAUUUAGGGUUUUGAGGCUUCCAAUUUCCCUCAGUUCAAAUUUCAGAAUUUAAACAUGAUGCACACAUGAAGCUAGCCUAGAGCACUACCAGCAGCUAGGGAUGUGACAUAAAAAUAUCGAACGAAUACCAAAUUCACAUGACUACCAAUAGCAAGACUUCACCCAUGUCCUCAGGAAAAAAUGUAACUACUCACAAAGCAUAUUCAUGUUCAUAAUCAGAGGAGUAAUAAUAUGCAUUAAGGAUCUGAACAUAUGAUCUUCCACCAAGUAAACCAAUUAGCAUCAACUACAAGGAGUAAUCAACACUUCUAGCAACCCACAGGUACCAAUUUGUGGUUUUGAUACAAGAUUGGAUACAAGAGAUGAACUAGGGUUUUAAGAGGAGAUGGUGCUGGUGAAAAUGUUGAUGGAGAUUGACCCCCUCCCGAUGAAAGGAUCGUUGGUGAUGACGAUGGUGAUGAUUUCCUCCUCCCGGACGGAAGUUUCCCUGACGGAACAGCUCUACCGGAGCCCUAGAUUGGUUCCGCCAAGGUUCCGCCUGAUGGCGGCGGAGUUUUGUCCCGUAAGCUUGCCUCUAAUUUUUUUCAGGGUAAAAGCCUUCAUAUAGCAGAAGAUGGCCACUGGAGGGCCACCAGGGGGCCCAGGAGACAGGGGCGCGCCCAGUAGGGGUGGGCGCGCCCCCACCCUCCUGGCCAGGGUGUGGGCCACCUCUGGUGUUUUCUUCGCUCAAUAAUUCUUAUUAAUUCCAAAACUGACUUCCAUGGAGUUUCAGGAUUUUUGGAGGUGUGCAGAAGAGGUUUCCAAUAUUUGCUCCUUUUCUAGCCAGAAUUCCAGCUGCCGGCAUUCCCCCUCUUCAUGGUAAACCUUGUAAAAUAAGAGAGAAUAGCCAUAAGUAUUGAGAUAUAAUGUGUAAUAACAGCCCAUAAUGCAAUAAAUAUUGAUAUAAAAGCAUGAUGCAAAAUGGACGUAUCAUGGAGAGAGGAGGAAAACCGCGAGAUGGACAACAGUGGUGUGGGCAUGAAUUCUUGGUGGGUUAGUGGUAUGAAACUUUUGUGGUAAUGUUACAACUCAAACUGCUGGAGUUUUCCGAAUUCAGGGGAUAUCAACCAAGCGUCCACCUUGCUGGGUAUGGACAACAGGUAGCAUGUCGGGAUGCAGAGGCAUUGAACGUGGCCCUGCUGGUGAGAAGAGACGAUGGCUCUGAGGAGAUCAAAUUCAGGAAGGACAGAUAUUUGACGACAGUCAAGAUUGAGGGGCGCGGUGUGCCAUAGAGGGCGCCACCGAGUUGAGAGGACUUGUGUGCGGCAGCAAUUCUUGGUGGGGAGAAGCGAGAUGAUCUCCUCAAGGAUGACGUCUGGGAGAUCGCUGAUGCGGUCCACCGGAGAUUCUACCGGUUCCUCAGAUCCGGGUGGGGAGGAGGCUCGCCGCUUCUCCUCGUGCUACCGGGUGCGGGAUCUACAACCGGCAUCGCCGCUGGCGGGAGCCUCAUCUUCUUGGCGCUAGGGCCAGCCGACUCCAUUUUCCUUGUGGGCGUCGCGCUGAGCUCACGGGUUUGAGCAGAGUAGCGAGAGAUGAGCCUAGUGGCAGUGCGAGUGGGGAAGAAGGAGGGCUGGAGAUUUCUGUAGGAGUGGAAGAAGAGGAGCCGGCGUUUUCUGGACGAGAGAGGAAGAAGGUGAGCGGGGGUUUUCUGGACGAGUGAGGAAGAUGGGGAGCGGGGGGAAUUGGGGGGAGGGGGGAGACGGAAGCGGGAGAGCGAGUUGUUUGUGUUUAUAAGGCCCGCUGCACUAACUACUCGGUUUUUCUCAAGAACCGCUCUCUUCUUUUGCGUUGCUGCAUUGGAGCUAGCGCAUGGACUUGGCUGACUGGCCAUGCAUGCAGGAUGCAUGCCCGCCGGACACUGCAUGCGCCUGGUUUGUUACUAGGCCUAUUUAAUAGGGUGGUUAUGGAGUAAAUUAAGGAGAUUUAUUUUCUUUGUGUGCUUCCACCAAAUUAGAGGAUGCGGUACUGGAUGCAGACACUCACAUUAAACUAAGCUUCAGAAGAUACGAUAUGCAUACUAACAUUCAGAAGAACAAAAGUUCAGCAUGUCUAUGCAUCUCAAUGAUUCGCCAUACUAUAACCAAUACAAAGCUAUGAGAAGGUGUGGAAAUAAAGAAAAUCGGACGAUGCUUCUCUGAGCAAAGGGCCUCCCUGCGCACGCAUUAAUUUCCUGGGCAUGCUUGUUUCUUCUCAAUGUUGUGAGCACUUUGAGCAUGUUGGCAACUCCACAGCUAGCUAGCUACCUCAUCUUGCAAUUGAUGCUGACACAUUUGCAGCAAACACAUGAGGCAAUAGAGAUGACUCAACAUGAGUCCAUAUUGUGCAGUUCCCCUGAAAUCAUAUUCAUUGUCCUGAAUAUGAAAAGAUAGGAAAAUAGUAGCUAUACUUAAACGGUGUUGCAAAACAGUAGACAUAUCAAUAGCUUAGCAUGACAAAACACGAUCAUCUGGACGAAGGGGAUACUGACCUGCCUGAGGAAGAUUAUAUAUAAUUUCAUAAGUCCUUGGUUGAUUUCCACCUUCAGCUGCACUACUUGUUUGCUCCUCCACACAUGACAGGAUCGUUCCGCACUGCAUUCAACAAGUCAACGUACGAAUAAGCUAAUUUCAUCUUGCGAUGGUCAUUGUACCUAGUUAUGAAUGUAGGAAUACCUGGAGCACCAUGAGGUUAGCUGACAGCAGGUAGAUGCAGCCAUAUAAAUUUUGUGCGGUGCUACCAAAAUCGAGGUUUGUAUCCCUUCCCGUUAUGAGAAUUCUUCUUGAAGUUGGUAGCAUGUGACGGCUUGUUCUUUGCAUCAAACUUACCUUUCCCCUGAGAUUUGUUCUUGUUGUUUUGGGGCUGGUUGGGCUGGAAGUUCUUCUCGUGUACCAUGUGGGCACUAGAAGCUCCCUCAGCGACCCGAGCACAUGUGUCUUUUGCUCUCGCCUUCUCCUCAAAAUCAAGAGUGCUAAUGAGAUCCAAAACAGAAAACUCAUGUCUCUUGUUUCUCAGAGAAGUAGCAAAAUCGUUCCACGAAGGUGGAAGCUUGGCAAUGCUGGUCCCGGUAACAAAUUUGUCCGGCAACACACACUUAAAGUACUCAAGUUCCUUAGAGAGUGACUGUAUCUCAUGAGUCUGCUGAACAACAGAACGCUCAUCAGUCAUCUUGUAGUCACAGAAUUGCUCCAUGACGUACAACUCGUUGCCAGCGCCCGAGGGCCCAAACGUGGCCUCGAGCACAACCCACAUGUCUUUGCCGCCGUCAAACGACAUACAUGAAUCCACAAUGGAAUCAUCAAGAACACUCAGCAGGGCCGCUUUGAAGAGGGUACCCAUGUUCUGAAAAGCUUCCUGCUGUGUAGGAUUAAGAUCGCCCUCAGGCUUACCCUUAGUGGCGUCAUAGCAGUACAUGAUCUGAAACCAUUAUACUGCUAUUGUGCGCCACCUUUUAUAUUGCACCCCCUUAAAAGUAGGCGGCUUCAAAAGCGAAGCAAAACCACUCAGAGUAAAUUGCCUAUAAUCAGGUUUUUGGAUUGGAUUGUUGAAUAUAUGAGCAAUUUAUUAUGAGAUUUAAUCCGAAUCAGCAGUAAAUAGAUCAUGACGACAAUUGCAAAUAUCAAAGUAAUGAUGCGGACUAAACCAGGAGGAUAGAAUCACAUACUGUACAGCGGGAGCAGAACCGAUGUGGUUGAUGUUGUCACUCAUGUCAUUGAUGAAGAGGUUACCGAGGUCGGGGAAGAAGGCUGUCAUUGAGGAAGUCGUCGCUGGCAGCAGUCACAUGAGUGUGCACCCCAAAAACCUGAUCGCCCCUCUCCCGUACAGGAUCACGAAAGGCGGGGUUCGGAGGACUGUUGUCCCUUCUCGCGGUGCAUGCCGGAAGGAGGGCUGGAGAAGAAUUGUGUGGCGGCGCUAAGAUCUGGAACGGUGCGAAACCAUAUGAUACAGCGGCGGCUAGGGUAGAGCAUGUCAGGUCGGUCGUGUGAGUAUAAUAGUAGGCCUUUGGCCCCCAAACCCCACGUCCAAGUCAAUAAUAGCCCCACCAAUGUUUGUCUCAAAAAAAAAGGAGUAAUUAAGGCGUCUGUUAGUCCCUUUAGUAUAAAUACUAUAUCAUUAAUAAUGGCCCCACCUUUUGUCUCACAAAGUAUGUUGGAGUACAUCUAGCUACACGUUUACAAUCCGCUUCUCUUCUCUCUCCUCUUCUCUCUCCUUCAACUAAGCAAAAUACUAUAUUUAAAUCCUUAUAGCCUACUUAUGUCAUCUAAUUGUAGUACUUGCUCUAAAGUUACUCUCCACUGUGUAGUCUGAAAUGCCGGGCAUGCAGCGGGCGUUGCCCUCGGUCGGCACGCCGCUUCAACGGCGGAAGUAGUGAGAGGUCGUGUCGCCCUGACUUGCCAUCAAUAUGGAGCGGCGGUCUCAGUUGGCACCGGGCGGGAAGCGCGCGCGGGAGGGGGAGGGGUUUUUGUUGGUCCAAGAAGGUGAGAAGCCAACUUGGGAUCGGCCGGACGGGGAAAUAUCAUGUGCUCCCAUACUCUGCAUAUGACACUAGCCUAUGUUACUACUCCCUCCUUUCCGGUUUAUAGAGAUGCUUAGUGUAACAUAGUAAUAUGUUACAGUAUAAGUUACUCCCCACUAUGACCAGCCUUGUGUUGGAAAUAUGCCCUAGAGGAAAUAAUAAAUUAGUUAUUAUUAUAUUUCCUUGUUCAUGAUAAUCGUUUAUUAUCCAUGCUAUAAUUGUAUUGAUAGGAAACUCAGAUACAUGUGUGGGUACAUAGACAACACCAUGUCCCUAGUAAGCCUCUAGUUGACUAGCUCGUUGAUCGAUAGAUGGUUACGGUUUCCUAACCAUGGACAUUGGAUGUCAUUGAUAACGGGAUCACAUCAUUUGGAGAAUGAUGUGAUGGACAAGACCCAAUCCUAAGCCUAGCACAAAGAUCGUAGUUCGUAUGCUAAAGCUUUUCUAAUGUCAAGUAUCAUUUCCUUAGACCAUGAGAUUGUGCAACUCCCGGAUACUGUAGGAAUGCUUUGGGUGUACCAAACGUCACAACGUAACUGGGUGACUAUAAAGGUGCACUACAGGUAUCUCCGAAAGUGUCUGUUUGGUUGGCACGAAUCGAGACUGGAAUUUGUCACUCCGUGUAAACGGAGAGGUAUCUCUGGGCCCAGUCGGUAGGACAUCAUCGUAAUGUGCACAAUGUGAUCAAAGAGUUGAUCGCGGGAUGAUGUGUUACGGAACGAGUAAAGAGACUUGCCGGUAACGAGAUUGAACAAGGUAUCGGUAUACCGACGAUCGAAUCUCGGGCAAGUACAAUACCAUUAGACAAAGGGAAUUGUAUAAGGGAUUGAUUGAGUCCUUGAUAUCGUGGUUCAUCCGAUGAGAUUAUCGUGGAACAUGUGGGAACCAACAUGGGUAUCCAGAUCCCGCUGUUGGUUAUUGACCGGAGAUCGUCUUGGUCAUGUCUGCAUGGUUCCCGAACCCGUAGGGUCUACACACUUAAGGUUCGAUGACGAUAGGGUUAUAAAGGAAGUUUGUAUGUGGUUACCGAAUGUUGCUUGGAGUCCCGGAUGAGAUCCCAGAUGUCACGAGGAGUUCCGGAAUGGUCCGGAGGUAAAGAUUUAUAUAUGGGAAGUCCUGUUUUGGUCACCAAAAAAGUUUCGGGUUUUAUCGGUAACGUACUGGGACCACCAGGAGGGUCCCGGGGGUCCACCAAGUGGGGCCACCAUCCUCGGAGGGCAGCAUGGGCCAAGUGUGGGAGGGGACCAGCCCCAGGUGGGCUGGUGCCCCCCCCCACAAGGGCCCAAGGCGCCUAGGGUUUGGGGAGGGGGCGCCCCACCUUGCUUGGGGGGCAAGUUUCCCCCUCUCCCCCCUUGGCCGCCCCCCUAGAUGGGAUCUAGGGCUGGCCACCGCCCCUAGGGGUGGAAACCUAGGUGGGGGCGCAGCCCCCUCUCCCCCUAUAUAUAGUGGAGGCAUAGGAGCAGCCCAAGACACAAGUUUCUUCUCUUGUUGGCGCAGCCCUACCUCUCUUUUUCCUCAUAUCUCACGGUGCUUGGUGAAGCCCUGCUGGAUCACCACGCGCCUCCAUCACCACCACGCCGUUAUGCUGCUGCUGGAUGGAGUCUUCCUCAACCUCUCCCUCUCUCCUUGCUGGAUCAAGGCAUGGGAGACGUCACCGGGCUGUACGUGUGUUGAACACGGAGGUGCCGUCCGUUCGGCACUAGGAUCUCCGGUGAUUUGGAUCACGACGAGUACGACUCCUUCAACCUUGUUCUCUUGAACGCUUCCGCUUAGCGAUCUACAAGGGUAUGUAGAUGCACUCUCCUUUCCCUCGUUGCUAGUCUCUCCAUAGAUAGAUCUUGGUGACUCGUAGGAAAAUUGUGAAUUUCUGCUACGUUCUCCAACAGUGGUAUCAGAGCUAGGUCUAUUGCGUAGAUUCUUUGCACGAGUAGAACACAAAGUAGUUGUGGGUGUUGAUUUUGUUCAAUAUGCUUACCGUUACUAGUCCAAUCUUGUUUCGACGGUAUUGUGGGAUGAAGCAGCCCGGACCGACCUUACACGUACACUUACGUGAGAUAGGUUCCACCGACUGACAUGCACUUGGUGCAUAAGGUGGCUAGCGGGUGCCAGUCUCUCCCACUUUAGUCGGAACAGAUUCGAUGAAAAGGGUCCUUAUGAAGGGUAAAUAGCAAUUGGCAUAUCACGUUGUGGUUUUGCAUAUGUAAGAAACGUUCUUGCUAGAAACCCAUAGCAGCCACGUAAAACAUGCAAACAACAAUUAGAGGACGUCUAACUUGUUUUUGCAGGGUAUGCUAUGUGAUGUGAUAUGGCCAAGAAGAAUGUGAUGAAUGAUAUGUGAUGUAUGAGAUUGAUCAUGUUCUUGUAAUAGGAAUCACGACUUGCAUGUCGAUGAGUAUGACAACCGGCAGGAGCCAUAGGAGUUGUCUUUAUUUAUUGUAUGACUUGUGUGUCAUUGAACAACGCCAUGUAAUUACUUUACUUUAUUGCUAACCGGUAGCCAUAGUAGUAGAAGUAAUAAGUUGGCGAGACAACUUCAUGGAGACACGAUGAUGGAGAUCAUGAUGAUGGAGAUCAUUGUGUCAUGCCGGUGACGAUGAUGAUCAUGGAGCCCCGAAGAUGGAGAUCAAAAGGAGCAAAAUGAUAUUGGCCAUAUCAUGUCACUUUUUGAUUGCAUGUGAUGUUUAUCAUGUUUAUGCAUCUUAUUUGCUUAGAACAACGAUAGUAAAUAAGAUGAUCCCUCAUUAAAAUUUCAAGAAAGUGUUCCCCCUAAUUGUGCACCGUUGCGAAAGUUCGUCGUUUCGAAGCACCACGUGAUGAUCGGGUGUGAUAGAUUCUUACGUUCACAUACAACGGGUGUAAGCCAGAUUUACACAUGCAAAAUACUUAGGUUGACUUGACGAGCCUAGCAUGUACAGACAUGGCCUCGGAACACAAGAGACCGAAAGGUCGAGCAUGAGUCGUAUAGUAGAUACGAUCAACAUGAAGAUGUUCACCGAUGAUGACUAGUCCGUCUCACGUGAUGAUCGGACACGGCCUAGUUGACUCGGAUCAUGUAAUCACUUAGAUGACUAGAGGGAUGUCUAUCUGAGUGGGAGUUCAUAAGAUGAACUUAAUUAUCCUGAACAUAGUCAAAAGAUCUUCGCAAAUUAUGUCAUAGCUCGCACUUUAGUUCUACUGUUUUAGAUAUGUUCCUAGAGAAAAUAUAGUUGAAAGUUGACAGUAGCGAUUAUGCGGACAGUAGAAAGCUUAUGUCCUUAAUGCACUGCUCAGUGUGCUGAACCCCAAACGUCGUCUGUGGAUGUUGCGAACAUUGGACAUACACGUUUUGAUAACUACGUGAUAGUUUAGUUAAACGGUUUAGAGUUGAGGCACCAAAGACGUUUUCGAAACAUCGCGGAACAUAUGAGAUGUUUCGAGGGCUGAAAUUGGGAUUUCAGGAUCGUGCCCACGUCAAGAGGUAUAAGACCUCCGACAAUUUUCUUAGCCUGCAAACUAAGGGAGAAGAGCUCAAUCGGUGAGCUUGCGCUCAGAUCGUCUGAGUGCAACAAUCACUUGAAUUGAGUGGGAGUUGAUCUUCCAGAUGAGAUAGUGAUGUUUCUCCAAAGUCAUUGCCACCAAGCUGCUAGAGCUUCGUGAUGAACUAUAACAUAUCAGGGAUGGAUAUGAUGAUCCUUGAGGUAUUCGCGAUGUUUGACACCGCGAAAGUAGAAAUCAAGAAGGAGCAUCAAUUGUUGAUGGUUGGUAAAACCACUAGUUUCAAGAAGGGCAAGGGAAAGAAGGGAUACUUCAUGAAACAGCAAAUCAGUUGCUGCUCUAGUGAAGAAACCCAAGGUUGAACCCAAACCCGAGACUAAGUGAUUCUGUAAUAAGGGGAACAACCACUGGAGCAGAAUUAUCCUAGAUACUUGGUAGAUGAGAAGGCUGGCAAGGUCGAUAGAAGUAUACUGGAUAUACAUUAUGUUAAUGUGUACUUUGCUAGUACUCCUAGUAGCACCAGGGUAUUAAGAUCCCGGUUCAGUUGCUAAGUGCUAGUAACUCGAAAUAAAAGAGCUACGGAAUAAACGGAGACUAGCUAAUGGUGAGCUGACGAUAUGUGUUGGAAGUGCUUCCAAGGUUGAAGUGAUCAAGCAUCGUACGCUCCCUCUACCAUCAAGAUUGGUGUUAAAACUAAAAAAUUGUUAUUUGGUGUUUGCGUUGAGCAUAGACAUGACUGGAUUAUGUCUAUCGCAAUACGGUUAUUCAUUUAAGGAGAAUAAUGGUUACUCUGGUUAUUUGAAUAAUACCUUCAAUGGUCUUGCACCUGAAAUGAAUGAUUUAUUGAAUCUCGAUCGUAGUGAUACACAUUUUCAUGCCAAAAGAUAUAAGAUAGUAAUGAUAGUACCACUUACUUGUGGCACUGCCAUGUAAGUCAUAUUGGUAUAAAACGCAUGAAGAAGCUCCAUGUUGAUGGAUCUUUGGACUCACUCAUUUUUGAAAAGUUUGAGACAUGCGAACCAUGUCUAUUGGUGUAUACGCAUGAAGAAACUCCAUGCAGAUGGAUCGUUUGGACUCACUUGAUUUUGAAUCACUUGAGAUAUGCAAAUCAUACCACAUGGGAAAGAUGACUAAAAAGCCUCAUUUUUUAGUAAAAUGGAACAAGAUAGCAACUUGUUGGAAGUAACACAUUUUGAUGUGUGCGGUCCAAUGAGUGUUGAGGCAUGCAGUGAAUAUCGUUAUGUUCUUACUUCACAGAUGAUUCGAGUAGAUGUUGAGUAUAUUUACUUGAUGAAACACAAGUCUGAAUUAUUGAAUGGUUCAAGUAAUUUCAGAGUGAAGUUGAAGAUCAUCGUGACAAGAGGAUAAAAUGUCUAUGAUAUGAUCAUAGAGAUGAGUAUCUGAGUUACGAGCUUUGGCACGCAAUUAAGACAUUGUGGAAAUUGUUUCACAAUUAAUACCGCCUGGAACACCAUAGUGUGAUGGUGUGUCCGAACAUCAUAGUUGGACCCUAUUGGAUAUGGUGCGUACCAUGAUGUCUCUUAUUAAAUUACCACUAUCAUUCAUGGGUUAGGCAUUAGAGACAACCACAUUCACUUUAAAUAGGGCACCACGUAAUUCCGUUGAGAUGACACCGUAUGAACUAUGGUUUAGAGAAAUCUAAGCUGUCAUUUCUUAAAGGUUUGGGGUCGCGACGCUUAUGUGAAAAAGUUUCAGGUUGAUAAGCUCGAACCCAAAGCGGAUAAAAUGCAUCUUCAUAGGACACCCAAAAUAGUUGGGUAUACCUCCUAAUUUAGAUCCGAAAGCAAUAGGAUUGUUUCUUGAAUCGGGUCCUUUCUUGAGGAAAAGUUUGUCUCGAAAAGUUGAGUGGGAGGAUGGUGGAGACUUGAUAUGGUUAUUGAACCGUCACUACAACUAGUAUGUAGCAGGGCACAGGAAGUUGUUCCUGUGGCACCUACACCAAUUGAAGUAGAAGCUUAUGAUAGUGAUCAUGAAACUUCGGAUCAAGUCACUUCCGUACCUCGUAGGGUGAGAAGGAUGCGUACUGCUUCAGAGUGGUACAGUAAUCCUGUCUUGAAGGUCAUGUUGCUAGACAACAAUGAACCUACGAGCUAUGGAGAAGCGAUGGUGGAACCAAAUUCCGACAAAUGGUUAGAAGCCAUGAAAUCCGAGAUAGGAUCCAUGUAUCAGAACAAAGCAUGGACUUUGGUGGACUUGCCCAAUGAUCGGCAAGCCAUUGAGAUAAAUGGAUCUUUAAGAAGAAGACGGGCAUGGAUGGUAAUGUCACCAUCUAUGAAGCUCGACUUGUGGCGAAGAGUUUUUCACAAGUUCAAGGAGUUGACUACGAUGAGAUUUUCUCAUCCCUAGCGAUGCUUAAAGUCUGUCGGAAUCAUGUUAGCACAAGCUGCAUUUAUGAAAUCUGGCAGAUGGAUGUCAAAAUGAGUUUCCUUACCAGUUUUCGUAAGGAAAGGUUGUAUGCAAUACAAUCAGAAAGGUUUUGUCGAUCCUAAGGAUGCUAAAAGGUAUGCUAGCUCUAGCGAUCCUUCUAAGGACUAGAGUAAGCAUCUCGGAGUUGGAACGUACGCUUUGAUGAGAUGAUCAAAGAUUUUGGAUUUAUACAAAGUUUAUGAGAAACUUGUAUUUCCAAAGAAGUGAGUGGGAGCACUAUAGAUUUUCUGAUGAGUAUAUGUUGUUGACAUAUUGUUGAUCAUAAAUGAUGUAGAAUUUCUGGAAAGCAUAUAGGGUUAUUUGAAAAGUGUUUUUCAAUAGAAAACCUGGAUUAAGCUACUUGAACAUUGAGCACCCAGAUCUAUGAGGAUAGAUCAAAAAUCACUUAAUAGACUUUCAAAUGAGCAUAUACCUUGACAUGAUCUUGAAGGUGUUCAAGAUGGAUCAGUCCAAGAAGAAGUUCUUGCCUGAGAUGUAAGGUAUGAAGUUAAGACUUAAAGCUCGACCACAGCAGAAAAGAGAGAAAGGACGAAGGUCGUCCCCUAUGCUUUAGACGUAGGCUCUACAGUAUGUUAUGCUGUGUACCACACCUGAUAUGUGCCUUGCUACAUAUCUGGCAAGAGGGUACAAAGGUGAUCAAGGAGUGGAUCACCAGAUAGCGGUCAAAAUUAUCCUUAGAGGAAUAAGGAUAUGUUUCUCGAUUAUGGAGGUGAUAAAGAGUUCGGCGUAAAGGGUUACGUUGAUGCAAGCUUUAACACCUAUCUGAAUGACUCUGAGUAGCAAACCGGAUACGUAUAGUGGAGCAACCAUUUGGAAUAGCUCCAAGUGGAGCGUGGAAGCAGCAUUUACAAUAUGACCUAGAAAUUUGCGAAGAACAUACGGAUCUCAAUGUUGCAGACCCGUUGACUGAAACCUCUCUCACAAGCAAAACAUGAUCAAACCCCUAAACUCAUUGAGUCUUAAUCACAUGAUGAUGUGAACUAGUUUAGUGACACUAGUAAACUCUUUGGAUGUUGGUCACAUGGCGAUGUGACCUAUCAGUGUUAAUCACAUAGCGAUGUGAACUAGAUUAUUGACUCUAGUGCAAGUGGGAGACUGUUGGAAAUAUGCCCUAGAGGCAAUAAUAAAUUAGUUAUUAUUAUAUUUCCUUGUUCAUGAUAAUCGUUUGUUAUCCAUGCUAUAAUUGUAUUGAUAGGAAACUCAGAUACAUGUGUGGGUACAUAGACAACACCAUGUCCCUAGUAAGCCUCUUGUUGACUAGCUCGUUGAUCGAUAGAUGGUUAUGGUUUCCUAACCGUGGACAUUGGAUGUCGUUGAUAACAUGAUCACAUCAUUUGGAGAAUGAUGUGAUGGACAAGACCCAAUCCUAAGCCUAGCACAAAGAUCGUAGUUCGUAUGCUAAAGCUUUUCUAAUGUCAAGUAUCAUUUCCUUAGACCAUGAGAUUGUGCAACUCCCGGAUACCGUAGGAAUGCUUUGGGUGUACCAAACGUCACAAUGCAACUGGGUGACUAUAAAGGUGCACUACAGGUAUAUCCGAAAGUGUCUGUUUGGUUGGCACGAAUCGAGACUGGAAUUUGUCACUCCGUGUAAACGGAGAGGUAUCUCUAGGCCCACUCGGUAGGACAUCAUCGUAAUGUGCACAAUGUGAUCAAAGAGUUGAUCGCGGGAUGAUGUGUUACGGAACGAGUAAAGAGACUUGCCGAUAACGAGAUUGAACAAGGUAUCGGUAUACUGACGAUCGAAUCUCGGGCAAGUACAAUACUGUUAGACAAAGGGAAUUGUAUACGGGAUCGGUUGAGUCCUUGACAUCGUGGUUCAUCCGAUGAGAUCAUCGUGGAACAUGUGGGAACCAACAUGGGUAUCCAGAUCCUGCUGUUGGUUAUUGACCGGAGAUCGUCUCGGUCAUGUCUGCAUGGUUCCCGAACCCGUAGGGUCUACACACUUAAGGUUCGAUGACGAUAGGGUUAUAAAGGAAGUUUGUAUGUGGUUACCAAAUGUUGUUCGGAGUCCCGGAUGAGAUCCUGGACGUCACGAGGAGUUCCGGAAUGGUCCGGAGGUAAAGAUUUAUAUAUGGGAAGUCCUGUUUUGGUCACCGGAAAAGUUUCGUGUUUUAUCGGUAACGUACCGGGACCACCGGGAGGGUCCCGGGGGUCCACCAAGUGGGGCCACCAUCCCUGGAGGGCAGCAUGGUCCAAGUGUGGGAGGGGACCAGCCCCAGGUGGGCUGGUGCGCCCCCCCACAAGGGCCCAAGGCGCCUAGGGUUUGGGGAGGGGCCGCCCCACCUUGCCUGGGGGGGCAAGUUUCCCCCUCUCCCCCCCUUGGCCGCCCCCUAGAUGGGAUCUAGGGCUGGCCGCCGCCCCUAGGGGUGGAAACCUAGGUGGGGGCGCAGCCCCCUCCCCCCUUAUAUAUAGUGGAGGCAUAGGAGCAGCCCAAGACACAAGUUUCUUCUCUUGUUGGCGCAGCCCUACCUCUCUUUAUCCUCAUAUCUCGCGGUGCUUGGCGAAGCCCUGCUGGAUCACCACGCUCCUCCAUCACCACCACGCUGUUGUGCUGCUGCUGGAUGGAGUCUUCCUCAACCUCUCCCUCUCUCCUUGCUGGAUCAAGGCAUGGGAGACGUCACCGGGCUGUACGUGUGUUGAACGCGGAGGUGUCGUCCGUUCGGCACUAGGAUCUCCGGUGAUUUAGAUCACGACGAGUACGACUCCUUCAACCCCGUUCUCUUGAACACUUCCGCUUAGCGAUCUACAAGGGUAUGUAGAUGCACUCUCCUUCCCCUCGUUGCUAGUGUCUCCAUAGAUAGAUCUUGGUGACUCGUAGGAAAAUUGUGAAUUUCUGCUACGUUCUCCAACACCUUGGCCUCUCCCAGUGCUCCACCAUGUAUAGCUGCUAAGCCUGCCACGUAGGCAUAAAAUAUGAUGUGGUACCAAUAAACUAAGCGCCUAUGCAUUGAAGACUUGAGUUACUAAGCCAUUUAAUGCACUUAGCACCUUAUCUAAGCACAUCUAAGCACUUACUAGCACCCCCUUGAUCGUGGACCUUGACGGUGUACGUCACCUUGUGUCUUAUAAUUUUCCUCGUCAUCAUCUGAGUCCUAGAAGAUCUCACCCACAUCAUCAUUAGCAUGCAGCCGCCUUGAUAGACAACAUGCGCAGAAGGAGUAGAGGCGACUGGGGACGCACCAUGUCAUGGGCACUCCGUACAUGCUCGUGUGUGUGCAGCGUGCGUGUUUUUCCAUUGCUAGCUCUAAGGCCAAGGCUGCGGUCGUCUUCGUCUCCGACUAGUCGUUGAGCAAUGACGGCAAAGAGGUGCUGCAAGAGAUGCGUAGGCGCCGUUGCGUGCGAGCUUCACCGUAGCACGACGAACCAGACGUCACCGCAGAUGGCGCACGCCUCCAUGCAGCCGAGUGUGUGCACAUGCAUGUGUUAUUCACGUUCAUUCUGCGGCCGAGCGUGUGUGCAUGCACGUGUUCUGUACGUGCGUUGUGUGCUCCAUGCUGUGUGCGUAAGUGCAUGAGUUGGAUCAGAUGGAGUUAGUGCGUUGGCUUAUGUACAUGCAUGGCUGCAUGCGUCCUGUACAUGCGUGGCUUGCUGCGUGGUUAUCAAUAUAAACUACUUCCUCCAUUCCUAAAUAUAAGGCUUUCUAGCCAUUUCAAAUAGACUACAAUAUACGGAUGUAUGUAGACAUAUUUUAGAGUGUAGAUUCACUCAUUUUGUUUCGUAUGUAGUCCCUUAUUGAAAUCUCUAAAAAGACUUAUAUUUGGGAACGGAGGGAGUAUAAAACAUCUUCAACUUAGCAUCCUAAUGUACCGUUUCUAGUGGUUAGCCAAGAGUUCAUCUUCUUUUAUUUGUUUACUAGGAAACAUGUCCAUGUGUUGCAACGGAAGAAAACAGCCCUCACACGCCUUACCCACUAAACAUGGCUAAAGAGCUCACCCUCAUGCCCAUAACAUAAUAAACAUGACUAAUACCUCAUCCUCAGGUCCACAUCCUCCAUUUCAAUAUAACAUCAGCCACAUGUUUCCGCUUGUCGUCUUUGUCGUCCUCCUCGUCGGUGGUCGCAGUAUGAGUUGUCACUAACCAAGGUUGGCAAGGUCCAACAGCUGUAUUGUUGAGCCGUCUUCGUGUCCGACAAAGAUCAAGAGUGUUGAACGCGGUUUUUUAUCAUCUGGCUUAUAUAAUAGGGAAAAACACUGCACAUAAUAUAUGUUUGUGUCAUCAUGUAAAUUCAGUAGUUUGUGUCAGAUAGACCAUGCAUGAAACCUUGGUUGGACUUCUCAUGCAUUUUGACGGGAGUCACUGGGCAGAGUGAGACUGGUUGUAUGUGAAGAUGCGACAGAGAAUAAGAUUCUUUCCAUAUCCCUAGUUUAAUAAAGUGAAGUAAAACAAAGCUUCAUGUGGGCAUAUUUCAAAAAUUCGCCCAAGUUUUAUUAAUAUAGGUAUAGAUUAAAACAAUUUAGCUAUAGUACCUCCCAGUUUAAAAAAACAUGUUUAUAAAAAUGUUUGCCUUUUCAAAUUUAAUGUUCAGAAAAUAUUUGUGUUUUUAAAAUGUUUGCAAAUUCGAGAAAUAUGACAACAGUACAUCCUACUUUUAAAAAAUUGUUUGUGCUUUAGAAAAUGUUCAGGUUUCAAAAAAAAA
rnacentral:lncRNA from 1 species